rnacentral:lncRNA from 1 species
GAACUGAUUAAGUGUUAGCAUAAAUAUCUAGCCUUUAUCAUGUUGAGUGCCCUCAAUAAAUAUUACUCCCUGUUUUUAUAUUUUCGUUUUAUAAAGCAGAAAAGAAAUAUUUAUUUUAUUUUUAUGCCACCACAGUGAAUGUACUUAUGGGUUUCAUGUCACUCGUAUUCUCACAUGGGGCUUACUGUUUGUUAACAUUUUUAUUUUCUUUUUAGGAUAGUAUGAACAUGAUUAACUAAGCAAACUACUUUAAAUAAUUGAAAGGAAAAGAUAACUACCAAGUUUAUCUCUUGGCAAGGCGUUCGGUGUUUUUAAGUCCUCCAAACUGGACUCUCCAUUUUCUUGUUGUCCUGGGAUUCGUUGGGUGGCGUAGUCAGUACUUCCAGCAGCGCCUCCUCUUCAUGUAUAGUUAUCUUCUCUUUCCACACGUGACUCGGUGCUACGGUCUCCUCAGGAUAAUUCUGUUUAAACUGUAUGUCUUCUGACCUUACCACUUCUCCUUCAUAGUCUGCCCAUCCGUCCUUGAUGAUUUCCCUCCUCUGGUUGCGGUUACGUCGUUUUCUGACCUGCUUAGAGUCUUCAACGAUAUAAUUAGGGUCAGUAAAAUAGCGACGUACCUUCUCUGAGGGGAAGUGCAUAUGGACUUCUUCUCCCAUGUCAAUAAUCUGAAAGUCUGUGUAGACAAAAUGAUCGUCUAUUUUGACUAGGACAUCAGUCACUGUUCCUUUAACCUCUCGAAAUGUCUGAUCUGCCAUCUGGAGCUGAAUGUAUGUUGGUUUUAGGGGCAUGGUUCCGAACAAGAGCCGAUAGGUGACUGCGGCCAUUAUGUUGACGCCCGAUCCGGUGUCGCAAGUCAUCUUGUAGAGGUUAUAUCUAUUUAUAGAGCAAUAGAUGCUUGGCAUUCCUGGGUUGUCCUUCUUGGUCAAAAAUGGUGACUUAAGUUGAUGAUCUUGGCCUCCUUGAACUGCAGUGACCAUCUUAGCUGACUCGGUCCAUAGUUGCUUGUUCCUGUUCCUCUUGUUCGUCCACUUCCUUGGUUCAUGUCGGGAUUGCUCUGGGCUUUGUGUAGUCUUGUUCUUAAAGGAAAAUGUCUCCUUCCUCUCUUUGAUGUAGAAAUUGAUCUUGCCAGCACUAGCGUAGAUGACAGCUCCCGAGGUGUUUAAGAAUGGCUUCCCUAAGAUGAUGGGUGCUCUCUCAUCAUUACCGGUCUCUAUCACCACGAAGUCUACUGGGGCAUAUAAGGUACCAACUCGGACACAAAGGUUCCUCAAUAUUCCUUUCAGAAAACUUAUCGUCUCAUCUACAAACUGCAAACACAUAGUUGUUUCUAAUAAAGGAUAUGUAAAGAAUUUUUCAUGGAGUACCCUGGGCAUAAUGUUGACACUAGAGCCACCAUGCCGAUGGAGAUCGGGAUGACGGGGCGUCCUGGAUCACCACUCUUGACCGGCAGAAGGUCAGUAGUAACUUCAGUGACGGGGUUACUCCAAUUACCUGCAUCAAACAUGUCUACAAGAUUUGCAUAUUCUAAUCCUUCCGGUUGUGAGGGUAUACCGGGGUUAGUAGCAGAAACAGCAGCAGCUAUUUGAUUUAAUUGAGAUUUCAAUCAUUUUGUUAAAGCUAAUUUGAUUCUUGAUGGCAGCAGAGAAAUUUUCCAUUCUAUUAUUUAUAUUUUCUAGCAUUUUAUCAUUAGAUGCCAAUUUCUUAGAUAGGUUAUCCAUUAGCUUUCCUUGAUUAGACACUAACUCUCUCAAAGGUGGAAAAUUAUUAUUAUUGUUGUAAGAAUUGUUACCUUGAUAAUUACUUGAGUAGUUAGGCCUCUGUUGAUUCCAUCCUUGAUUUUGUUGAGGACGGUUGUAGUAGUUGUUGUUAUUGUUGUUGAUGUAGUUCACAUCCUCAAACAUCUAAGGGCAGUGAUUGCCUGAGUGUCCAGUGUCUCCACACUCCUCACAAGUCAUGUGAGAGUUGAAGAUGUGCAUAACUUCUUUCUUAUCUCCAGCUCUAUCUUCGAGCUUCUUUAUGAGCAGGUCUAGCUUUGCAGACAGCAUGUCUACCUCCUUGAGCUGAUGCAUACCUCCACCUCUCUUGCGUGUCUGGGUCCUCUCUUCAUUCCAGCUUUGGUUGGACGCCAUCUUCUCCACAAGAGCUGUGGCUUGUGGUAUGGUGAGUGAUAGGAAUGCUCCUCCAGCUGCAGCAUCCAUGGUUUCUCGGGCACUAUUGCCGAGCCCAUGAUAAAAUGUCUGCAUCAGUAGCCAACUCUCCAUUCCAUGAUGGAGAUAUUCUAGUAUGUAGUCUUGGAAGCACCUCCCAUGCUUCUAGAACAGAUUCAUCAUGUUGUUUCUGAAAACUUGUAAUUUUCCCACGGAGAGCAUUGGUCUUGCCCAUGGGAAAGAACUUCGCUAGAAAGUUUGUGGAGCAGAGUGCCCACGUAGUAUUCUUCUCCUUUGUAGCGUAAAACCACUGCUUCGCUCUUCCUAACAGUGAGAAUGGGAAGAGGCGAAGUAGUAUAGCAUCUCUGGGGACUCCUGAUAUGGUAAAUGUGCUGCAAAUCUCCAGAAAGUGUUGGAGAUGAGCACUAGCAUCUUCGUGUGCCUUCCUACAGAACUGGUUGGAUUGCACCAUGUUGAUAAGUCCAGGCUUGAGCUCAAAGUUGCCAUCGAUCUCUGCAGCAGGUCUAGUGCGGAUGUUGUCCAUAGUGGUAGCUGAGAACUCGCGGAUCGAUUUGUUCGCCAUGGCUUCGAACUUUGAAGACAAGUUCCGGUGAUCUUCUUGAUUGGAUGAAGCUUCUUGCUGAAGUGUUGAUGAUCUCUUCUUGAGCUUGGCUCUAGUUUUUAUGAAUAACGCUUCAGGAUUGUCAACAAAAUUUCCUAGAAUAUGUCUUCUAUUCAUACAUUACCCUACAUAAGAUAAAAUAGGAAAAUAUUGGGGUAAAACUGUAUGAGAGAAUUGAUAAGCUCAAUCACAUUAGUGAUGCGAAUGAUAACUCAAAAUCCUAUAUUCAUUCCUGAUUAGCAAUCAACCUUCCCCGGCAACGGCGCCAAAAAUGCUUAUUGGGUAUUCUUAACAUCAUUACCAAAAGCAGACUUAGUUUUAUAAUUCUGAUAACGGUGCCAAAAAUGUCAAACCUAUCCCUCAUACCACAUAAGCCAAGUUGUCAUCCCCAGCAUGACAUGAGAGACGCGGUAUUGAAAUAUGCAAUUGGUCAUCUAAAUAAAUAACAAAUGGGAUCUGCAAGCACACAGAUUAAUACCGAUGUAGCAUUUUAACCGGGAAGUAUUCCACGUAUCGUUAUUUAUAUUUUUACCACUGGGAAGGGAUUAGUAACCAUCAAUGUUGAUUAUAGAAUGGAAUAUGAGAUUGAGUAUCUAUCAUUGCAUGUAUAAUUGAGAACAUUUAUCUAACCCUUUCAUACAGGGAUAAGUGUCACAUAAAGGAUAUAUAAAGCAAUGAAUAGUGAUAAAGAUAAGUAAUCUGAUCAGCAUAACUUGGCCACAUAAUAAAUAUGAUAAGCACCACAAUUAGAUAUUCUAGCAAGUCAUUAGCAUGGAAUUAGAAUGAACUACAAGAAUAUUUCCUAAGUUAUUCUCAACUAUAUAGUCUAGCAUUAUCAUAGUUAGUGCAAGCAUACUUAGCAAUCAUUGUGAGACAUGACUACGCCCAUGCAUAGUGAUAUUAGCAAGGAAUAUGAGAAACAUAGCAAUCACUCCCCUGUAAUAAUGUUGCUCUGCCAGCCCAAUACAUGAGAGGGGGACUAUAUAAGAAUCAAUGAAGCUGUCACUAUCACGAACUACCCCACGAUCUGGCAUAUUGGGUACAAUCGCACAUAAAUAAGGUAUAAGCACCACGCCUACACAAUAUCUAUCAUUUACCCAUGGAUCCAAAGGAUAAAUGCUAUAUGAUCCUAAACAUGUAUAUAAUUCCAAUCUAACUAAGCCAAGUAUAUAACUAUGAUAGACUAAGAACAAUAUAAUCAAGAAUAUAAACAAGUAGAGCAAAGUCAUAAGCAACAUAUUGAAGUAGAAUAAAGUCAUAUUCAUAAUAUUGAAGAACAACAUGAACAAUUAGAAGAACAAUUAGAGAAUUACCAAGAAUCCUCUUGACAGAUCUGGAAACCAAUCGAAGAUUGACUCCUUCUAGUUCUAAUCCUAUGUAGCUAUGCUAAUCUAGAUGUCUAAUUGAUGUGGUGGCUCUAGGCUUGAUCAAAGGCUUCUUCUCCCUUAAGAAUAAUGAAUUAGGGUUGAGAGGCUCCUCUCCUCCAGGGGCCAGGGGGUCUGGUUUUAUAGUCCCUCCAAGUGAAUAUGGGCCGUUGGAUCAAACCAAGAUUGAUUGAACGAUUAUCCUUGAUCGUUUAGGUCAGUGGAGAUUGAUCUCGAAAGAGAGUCCUGAUUGGACUCAGAAGGGGGGCGGGCGCCCAGGGCCAGGCCUCGUUCGGCCUCCGCUUCCUUCCCAUGGCUUCUGGAGUCUUUUAGAUGUAAGAUAAUUGCGCGGCACAUUGAUAUCUCUAUGUAAUCCCGAUGUGUGGGUCUUUCUUCCGUAUUUCCUGAUAACCCCCUGCAGAAAUAGACAAACACCAAAACUCAUGGAAUUCUGUCAGAUAAAACCUUAAGUCUAGAUGUUGAUUUCAUUUGGAUCCAUUUCUUUAUUUAUUUGAUAAUUAAAUUUGAUACUUAAGGACCGUCAACACAUACCUUCAUUAUUGCGAAGCAUGACGGCUCCAUGUGACGAUGAGCUCACCACCUCGAACGGUCCUUCCCAUUUGCUUCAAAGUUUUCCAUGCCCAAAGAGCUUCACCCUGGAAUUAAAAAGUAAUACCUUAUCACCUGGGGUGAACUCCUUCUUGUUUAUCCUUUUGUCAUGCCAUCUUUUUACUCUUUCUUUAUAAAUCUUAGUAUUGUUGUUGACACCAUUUUUGGACACGUACUCAGGAUCGGUAGAGUGUAGAUCGGCAAAAUAGGGCAACGGUAAUUGGUCUGCAGGAGAGUUGCCGAUGGGGGUGGUUGCCGAUCAAGGGAUAGCUGAAUGUGACUAAGUCCAUGGAUGGUGAUGUGUUUAUGCUGAUGGUUAGCACUAGCCUGUGCCGAUGGCUAUGAUGAAGGGGUUGCCGACGAUCCAGAAGAAGAAGCUAAAGGUUGCCGAUUGGCUUGUGGUGGUUUGAUACGGAAGGAUAGUUCUAAUAUUUUCCUUAGUUAUUUAAAUUGUUUUGUAUACGGAUUCUGUUUAAUUUAGAAUUCAAGUUCUAGUCAUGUCUGGUUGUAGCUCUUUGAGCAGGGUAUAAAAGUAGACCCUAGGGCCUUGUAAUAAAAAUCAAUCAAUCAAUCAAUCAAUCAAUCAAACACAAGCUUUUACUCGUAUUUCAGCAUCUACUUUUUCGACGACUUCGUUAUAUUUUUCCUUUUUUCAUUAUGAGUUCUUCGGAGUUCGUCGACUUAAGCUUGGCGUAAUCUCAAGUUCUGCGUGAAUACCUCUUGGCCGUGGCAUCUGGGCGCAUCGCUGUUGUCGGGACCAAAGUAUUCGAGUUAUCACCUUUGCCGAUAGUAAGGUCAAAUCGGCUGGCACGCCUUAACGUUUGAAUCGGGUAUUAGCCCUUUGUGUUUGCAGAUCUAACUUUUGCACCAACACAUCUUUUGGCACGCCCAGUGGGACCUUUUCAAGAUCAAGAUCAACAUGUCGACUAUAGAGUUUGAUCAAGAAAACGUCAUCCCCGUGACAGAAGCCAAUCUCAAGGAUGAGCAGAAGCAAGCUAUUGCGAAAGCCAUGGAGGAUUAUAAGCAGCAAUGUUUGAGAUCCUUCAGUAUCAACAGGAGCGGCGAAGUGAUCCAGAAGGAAGCACUGCCCAUGCCUCGGCAUGUGACCAUUGAUGCCAAUCCUGGUAAACUUCAAGAUAUGGUUCAUAAUGCUAUUAACCGUGCUUUCAUCAAUCAAGCUGGUGUGCUGUCCAAUACGGUUUUCAAUGCCGUGGCUAGAACUUUUAAGGAAGGGCAGUUGCCACCAAAUUAUGUGGGCCCUUCUCAUCAUCAGCCAGGAUCACCGGUGGUCACAGCUCCAUCGGCUGCUAUAGCCGCUGUGGGCACACAAACUGCGGUACCUCCAAGAACGUUAGGAGUCACUAAUGCACAAUCUACGCCGAUGACGACUAAUCCACUGACUUCAGAUGAGCAGAUUAAGCUUACUACAGAUCUGUUGGCAUCGGCAAUGUCAGGGUCAGCCCCUCCUCCUAACUGGUGGUGUUUCGGUAUGCCUUCGGAAUACUUGACACCAGGCACAUAUCUGGCGGCUGAUAUGAGAGGCAAAGCUCCUAUGGCAUCAGCACCUCCAAAUAUGCUGAUGAAUCAAAGUCCCCAGUAUACUACAACCACUACUACAAGGCCUUACACCGGGAAUUCUCAAGCUCCAACGUUCCAGAUGCCUAACGCAUCGGCAGACUCAAUGCUGAUGCAACAGAGGUUUAUGACUCAGCCAGGGUAUGUCAAUUCAAUGAUAAUGCCUAAUUACCAGUCAUCGGUAGGUCCUAUGCCGAUGAUUGCUAAUAGUGGAUGGCCUGAGCAGCAAGUUUUUCCACAAAUGCCCUAACAGAAUCAUCAUGCUACAGGGUUUCAACAAGGCCAGAUCUACCCCGGAUUCCAGCACCAAGGGUUGGUCAAUCAGCCGAUGAAUCUCAGCCAGCAGAUUGGUGGUCCGCAGAUCGGUGGUCAGCAGUUUGGUGGUCAACACAUUGGUGUCCAGAUGAUUAACCCAAUGUUCCAUGCAGAUCGUGCACCGCACAGACACGUGGAAGCGUAUCAACAGAUCCCAGAUCCGCAACCACCUCAUCGGCAAUAUGCCGAUGCUUAUUGGGCCGAUAAGAUUGCUGAAGUAAUGAGGGACCAAUUUGGGAUAAAACCCAAAGUCAAUACUUGAUCUUAUCGGACACCGUAUCCUCCUGCAUAUGAUUUAAUUCUGCUUCCAAAUCGGUACAAAGUGCCAGAUUUUACUAAGUUUUCUGGGCAGGAUGAUACAUCAACCAUGGAGCAUGUCAACAGGUUCAUCAUCCAAUGCGGAGAAGCUGCUAACAGGGACGAGUUAAGGGUUCGCUUGUUCUCGUCAUCAUUGUCUGGAUCGGCUUUCACAUGGUUUAUAUCGUUACCUCCCAACUCAGUGAUUACGUGGGCUGAUCUAGAGAAGCAGUUACACAAAUACUUCUUUUCUGGAGUCCAUGAGAAGAAGAUCACCGAUUUGGUCAAAUUGAAGCAACGCAAUGAUGAAUCGGUUGAAAGUUUUGUGCAGAGGAUACGGGAAGUCAAGAACAAAUGCUAUAGCCUGGUUCUGGAUGAUCGGCAGCUAGCCGAUUUGGCUUUCUAGGGCUUGUUGCCACAUAUCAGGGACAAGUAUGCAUCUCAGGAGUUUGAAAGCUUAAGUCAUUUGGUGCAGAGAAUUUUUGAUCAAGAUAUCAAGCCUUUUGAGCCCAAGAGAGCAUGGAACAAAAAGGUAUCAUUCGUUGAUGAAGCAACAAGCUCGGAUUCUAAUGAGGAACCAGUCAUCGGCUUGGCAGAAUGGGUAAAAAAUAAGAAGCCGAUGUCUUGUCCUUUUGGGCACAAGGAGCCAGAAAAGUUCGCGUUUGACAUCACUAAGGCCGAUAGGAUAUUUGACUUUCUACUUCAGGAAGGUCAAAUCAAAUUGUCACCUAAUCAUGUAAUCCCAUCGGCCGAAGAGUUAAAAAGGAUGAAGUACUGUAAAUGGCACAAUGCAACUUCUCACAGCACCAAUGAGUGCAAAGUUUUAAGACAACAGCUGCAAUCGGCUAUAGAGUCUGGAAGGAUCAAAUUUGACAGCCCCAAAACUCAGAAGCUGAUGAAGAUUGAUCAACAUCCUUUCCCAUCAAACAUGCUGGAUGCUAAGGGAAAGGCCAAGGUCUUAACAUCGGAAACAGUUGAAAGAAGUGCAUCGGUGGAUCCUCAGCAUCAGAUCACUACUGCCAAUGCAAAAGGAAAAGGUUUGAUCUAGGAGGGGACUAACUCAGGAAGGCCUUCCCGAUCUGGUAUCAUAAUAACUCACAGAAGGCCUCGGGAAACUUGGCAGCAACGUGAGGAUCGGUAUUGGCGCCAGCAAGAAGAUUAUCAUCGGGAAGAAGAACGGCGCCGACAAGAGUGGAAUCGGCAUAGGGAUCACUGGAAUUGUCCGUUCUUCAUCCAUUGUUGGGAGGAAAAUAUCAAGCUUCCUACUGUCAGAGAUUGUCUUGAAUGCAAUGGUUAUGAUCGGUAUGACAGAUCCGAUCGGCGCUAUCACAAUGACGAUCGGCGGUUUAGUGGGCUGAUUAGGGGGAGAGCGUCCAUUCAUGACCGGCUGGGGGGCAGGCUCAGUGUGCACGACAGGCUCGGCAACCGUGUUGAAUACUUUUCCGGGAACUAGGAAGAGCUUGAAGAGGUGGCUAAUGCACGGGUUCCCGAUGAGUUCAUAUUCUGCAGGGAUGCUAAUACUUAUCGGAUGGAGUCAAGGGAACACCAUCGUCCAUCGCCAAGGCAGCAACAACUCCCUCCAUGGUGUCCAGAAGGGUUGACUAGGACAUAGAAAAGGAGGCUGCAGCGCGAAAGACGAGAAGAGUUAAGCAAGGGCGAGAACUCUGGCCAGUCUAGGGAUCAGCAACAAUCUGAUCCUAAGGGGAGAGGUCUAUCGGCAGAUGUCAACAUGGUAUUUAUGUUGCCGAUGGAGUUCCUUGCACCAUCCAGUGAUGAUGAGUUGGAGUUUUCCGACCAAAUAGCUCAGUUGGCUCUGGAUCCGAUGACCGCCAUCUUUGAAAAGCCUGCCGAUGAUGAGAGGCAACAUCUUAAAGCUCUGUUUGUCAAGGGGAGAGUUGACGGUCAGCCAAUGACCAAGAUUUUAAUUGAUGGUGGAGCCUCUAUCAAUAUCAUGCCAUAUGCAGUGUAUCGGAAGCUUGGAAAAGGGGAUCAGGAUUUGACCAAGACCGAUACGAUGCUCAAAGACUUUGAAGGGAACGUGUCUCCGGUCAAAGGAGCGAUUUGUGUUGAGUUGACCAUCGGCAGUAAAACCUUGCCGACAACAUUCUUCGUGAUCAGUGGAAAGGGUGCUUAUAACUUACUAUUGGGAAGACAUUGGAUUCAUGCCAACUGUUGCAUCCUGUCUACAAUGCACCAAUGCUUGGUUCAGUGGGUAGGCAACAAGAUUGAGAUUGUCCCCGGAGAUUCUUCUUACAUCAUUGCACCGGCAGAGGCAGAUACCUAUGAAAGGACUAGGUGUAUUUCAGGAGAAGUUUGGGAGAAGGAUUUUCUCAAAGUUGCCGAUUAUGAAAUUUCACCGAUCCAAGGAGUCGGUUGUGACGAGGGUUUUUAAUGGAUAGGUUCGCCGAUGAUGGAAAAUUAGGCCAGGGAUUCACAUCGGCCGAUGAUUUAGUAGAAGUAGAUAUAGGUAGUGGUGAUAAGCCUAGACCUACUUUUAUUAGUGCUAAGUUAAAUUCUGAGUGUAAGCAGCAGUUGACUGAUUUGUUAAAGGAAUAUAAAGAUUGCUUUGCUUGGGAUUAUACUGAGAUGCCUGGUUUAGACCGAUCGAUCGUUGAACAUCGGUUACCUAUCAAGUCCAGAUUUCGGCCACAUCAACAGCCAGCUCGCCGAUGUAAUCCUAACAUUCUUCCUGAUAUUUAGGCCGAAAUAACCAAACUUAUUGAAGCCAAAUUUAUUCGGCAGUGUCGUUAUGCCGAGUGGAUUUCCAAUGUGGUGCCAGUUUACAAGAAAAACGGGAAGCUUCGGGUUUGCAUUGAUUUCAGGAAUCUCAAUAAAGCUACGCCGAUGGAUGGCUACCCAAUGCCAGUUGCCGAUCUGCUAGUUGAUGCUGCGGCUGGGCAUCGGAUCAUCAGCUUUAUGGAUGGUAAUGCAGGAUAUAAUCAAAUAUUCAUGGCUGAAGAAGAUAUUCCAAGACUGCAUUUAGAUGCCCUGGUCAUGUUGGGUUAUUUGAAUGGAUAGUCAUGACCUUUGGCUUGAAAAAUGCUGGUGCUACUUAUCAUAGGGCUAUGAAAUUUAUUUUUCAUGAGUUCAUCGGCAAGCUGGUGGAGAUUUAUAUUGACGAUGUGGUGGUUAAAUCUGGGGACUUCACAAAGCAUCUUGCCGAUUUGCGAAAAGUGUUGGAAUGCACAAGGAAGCAUGGUUUAAAGAUGAAUCCCAAAAAGUGUGUGUUUUGUGUAUCGGCAGGACAAUUCCUUGGUUUCAUGGUGCAUGAGAGAGGGAUUGAGAUUAGUCAGAGGUCCAUUGAUGCUAUCAACAGAAUAGUUGCUCCCACCAACAAGACUAAGCUCCAGUCCUUGAUCGGCAAGGUAAACUUUAUCAGGAGGUUUAUAUCUAAUUUAUCUGGUAAAAUUCGUGCUUUUAGUCCUUUGCUUAAGUUGAAAGCCGAUCAAGAGUUUGUCUGGGGGAAGGAGCAACAAUUGGCCUUGGAUGAAAUCAAGAAUUACUUAGUAAAUCCUCCGGUUCUGAUUCCACCUCAGCAAGGGAAGCUCUUUAGAUUGUAUUUGUCUACCGAUGGGGUGGUCAUCGGUUCAGCUUUAAUUCAAGAAUUUGAAGGGAAGGAACGUGCGAUCUACUAUUUAAGCAGAAGAUUGGUUGAUGCUGAGACCAGGUAUUCGGCCAUUGAAAAGUUAUGUUUAUGUCUCUAUUUCUCAUGUACUAAGUUGAGACACUAUUUGUUAUCGGCCGAAUGCACUGUCAUAUGCAAGGAUGAUGUGGUCCGAUAUAUGCUGUCUAUGCCGAUUAUGAGUGGCAGAAUUGGUAAAUCGAUUUUGGCUCUGUCGGAGUUCGAUUUGCGUUACGAAUCGGUUAAAGCAGAUAAGGGACAGAUUAUGGCCGAUUUUGUGACUCAACAUUGCGGUACAGUGGAAACUUUGGAAAUUGUACCUUGGACGCUCUUCUUUGAUGGAUCCACGUGUGACCGGGGGCCGGAAUCGGCAUCGUGUUAAUUUCCCCUCAGGGAAGGAAGUAUGAAUUCUCCUUGCUGAUUGUUGCCACGUCAACAAAUAAUCAAGCUGAGUAUCAAGCUUUGAUAAAAGGGGUUGGAAUUGCUAAGAGAAGUUCGUGCUGAUGCUGUUGAGAUCUUUGGAGAUUCUAUGCUGGUUAUAAAUCAAUUGGCUGGAAGCUAUGAAUGCCGAAGCGAGGUUUUGAUAACUUAUCACGAUAGGAGUAUGCAAUUGUUGAAGGAAUUCAAGGAUUUCCGAUUAGAGCAUGUUCCUCGAUUGCAUAACGAAGAGGCCAAUCAGUUGGCUCAGCAUUCCUCGGGAUAUGAGCCCAUGAUUAAUGCAAUAUUGGCAAUCGGUGCCGAUGAUUGGAGAAAAGAAAUUAUUGAUUAUUCGAGGGAUCCAUCUAAGAAAGCUGAGAGGGUGUUCGGUUUCAAGCCACCAAGUAUGUGUUCCUUGAAGAUGAGUUGUAUUACCGAACUAUUGAUGGGAUUCUUCUCAGAUGCUUAGGUAAUGAUGAGGCUAGGAAUUUGAUAGGAGAGAUCCAUGAGGGAGUGUGUGGAGCACAUCAGUCAGCUUUUAAGAUGAAGUGGAUGAUUAGGAGGAAUGGGUAUUAUUGGGCAACCAAACUUGAGGAUUGCUUUAAAUAUUUCAAGGGGUGUCAAGGAUGUUAGAAAUUUGGCAAUAUUCAAAGAGCACCUGCAUCGGCCAUGAAUCCCAUUAUUAAACCUUGGCCAUUCUGAGGGUGGGCUAUUGACUUGAUCGGCCAGAUUUAUCCACCAUCCAGCAAAGGGCAUAAGUUUAUCUUGGUUGCCACCGAUUAUUUCACCAAAUGGGUUGAAGCUAUUCCUUUGAAGAAAGUUACAUCGGCCAAUAUGAUCGAUUUCAUGAAGGAACAUAUUAUUUACCAAUUUGGAAUUCCUCAAACAAUCACUACCGAUCAGGGUACUAUGUUCACAUCAGGAGAGUUUGAUGAAUUUGCAAUCGGCAUGGGGAUUAAAGUAUUAAAUUCUUCUCCUUAUUACGCUCAAGCUAAUGGGCAGACCGAGGCAUCUAAUAAAGGGAUUAUCAAGCUUAUUAAACGGAAGAUUGAAGAAAAUCCUAGGAGGUGGCAUACAUUGUUAAAUGAAGCUUUAUGGUCAUAUCGGAUGGCUUGUCAUGGAUCAACCAAAGUUUCACCCUAUCAAUUGGUAUAUGGGCAUGAUGCAUUGUUACCUUGGGAAAUGAAGACUGGGUCUAGGCGACUAUCGUUUCAAGAUCAAUUGGCUGCCGAUGAUUAUGCUACUUUGAUGACAGAUGAGUUGGAUGAUCUAGCAGGACAUCGGCUAAGGGCUCUGAUGAGUAUAGAAGAGAAUAAGAAAAGAGUUGCCAGAUGGUAUGAUAAGAAGGUAAAAGCUAAGGAGUUUGCCGAUGGAGAAUUAUUAUGGAAACUAAUCUUACCGAUCGGGACUAAAAGUUCAAAAUUCGGGAAGUGGUCUCCCAAUAGGGAGGGUCCCUAUCGGAUAAGUCGAUCGGCUCCUAGUAACGCUUUUAUUUUAGAAACUCUUAAAGGAGUUGAAUUUCCCAGAGCAUUAAAUGGCAAAUAUCUAAAGAAGUAUUACCCAAGCAUAUGGGUCGAUGCAUGAAAGUUUAAAUGUCGAUAACAUUCCUAUCGGCUAGAUCAAAAUGUAUCUGGGGCCGGACUUAAUGUUUUAAAAGGUGCCAAUAACAGUCCUAUCGGAUUAGACCAAAUACUAGGGUUGUCCAGAAGGAAAGGCCAGAUGUGCCACCGAUGAGGGAUUCACAUGUUCAACAGCGCCUGGAUCACCGAUAUAGCGCGCAGGCGGAUUUGGUUGGCUGCUUCUAUCUCUUUGGUGUCUUCAUCGGCAGAGCCUUCCACUGGCUUCAACUUCUUCUUCAUCUGCAGCGCUCUACGGCCAUGGACAUUUCGCUCUUGUUCAAGGAGUUUGAUCGCUUGAGGCAGCUUGCCUUCCUCUUGUUGAGCUUGAGAUAGGGCUUCCUCUACUUGCUUAAGUUCUGCCAAUAGGGUUUCUCUUCUCACCGAUAGAUCGGAAAUCUUUUGCUUCAAUGCAUCCCCUGAGGACUUUAACAUGCCGAUGUUCUUGUGCUUCUCAUCGGCAAGGAGCUUCACCUUCAUCACCUCUUCAGAAAGCUGGGCAUGAGCAGCUCUAUCGGCAAGACGUUGGGCAGCUCUCUGGUACUACAUCUGACGGCUUUCCAGAUGUGCAGCUUGAAAGAGGAUUUCCUCAGCAUCGGCAGGAAUUUGGCCUCUGAGGGUCUUGAAUAGAGCCUUGGCUGGGUCAGAGUCAUCAACCAGUUAGGCUGUGUCUUGGUGAAGGAGGGCUGAUAAUUCUUCCAAUUUCGCCCUGAUUUCUGCCGAUGUCAUCCCAACUGCCCGAGAAGAGCUUGCUUCCUCACCUUCGUCUUCAGAGAUGUCAAUGGCGAAGGAGAACAGACUAUCGGGAGAAUCCUGUUCCUGAAAGAAGACAAAGUGAGUCAUUCCAUGGUUAAGUAUUGAUGAAUACCGAUGGAGAUCGGAUGGCUUACUUGUUUCAAGGCAAUCUCUUGCCUCUGGCUAGAAGAUGCCGAUGGAACUACAGGUUGAUUGGCUGGGGUUGCCGAUGGGACUAUGUCGGCUGAAAGAAUAACAGAAGUAAUUAUGAGACAGGAAAAAAUGAGUUCAUCGGCAAUAAUUUCAUAAAAAGUAUGUUACCUUGAGGAGAAGCAACACUUGUUUGGAUGGAGGAAACUACCGAUGCUAUGAUUGAACCUGCUGUAUCGGUAGUUUGCUCAUGUAUGUCAGCCGAUGUAUCUUCUGGCUGAGGUCCCUCUGGUUGGAAUUCUUCUACGUGAGCUUCUUCCUGCGGCUGAGGAGAUGGUGCCUAUUGCAUUUGGACUUCUGGAGAGGAGGGGGAAGAUUCUACUAGAAUUAGAGACACUGGGGGAAGAGGAGGUGUUGCUGUCUUCUGGCGCUGUGCUUGUGAUCUGGUGCUCUUAGAGCCUUUCCUCUUUGCUUGGCUAGACUGGGGGCAUCGACACUUAUGCUUUUGGUCCUUGCCGAUGCGAUGGUGUGCUGGUACAGCAAUAAGAGGUUGUGAGUACAAGUGUAAUCAGUAUGAGAAUGGAAUCGGUAAAAGAAUUUGAGGGUUACCUUGAAGGCUUGUGCCAAAGUGGAGGCAGCUACCGAUGGAGAUGUCUUUGUCCGCUUGGUGGUGACUUUCUUGAGGCAUACACCUCGGUGCAUUAUGGCGGCCAGGGUGGGAGCAUUGUUGCUGAUUGAGGAGAUUGGACCUGAUGGAAAAAGAUCAAUCGGCUUGCCACUCCUGCUAACAGAUGGUGGUGUAUCGUCAACCUGUAAUACAACACAGAAAGUAAGUUACCGAUGAAAAUGAGAAUAAAAGGGUUGGAACGUCGGUUUAGAAAUACUUACAGUGUUGUCAGGUAUUUUAUAUUGGGGAUCGAUCAUGCCGCGCUACGUAAGAGCCGAUUUGUAGAACAAAUGCUCCUUCCAUUCUUUCCACCACUGCUUGUACGCCUGAGUAAUGAAGAGGGCCGGAACCCACUCUGAUAAAUCUGCAUCGGUAUCGGCAUUCAGAGGCAGUUUAGCUACCCUGGUCCACUCGAGGAGGCUGGUGAUGGUUUCCCUGGGUUUUAUUACAUCGGCAUAACAGAGUGCAAUCGGCAGCUGGCCGAAAGCUAGUUGACGGGCUAGUGUCGAUGGGUUGUAAAACUCAUAGGUUUGGUUGGAGGUUUUCCCACUGCCAAAGAAGUUUACUGGUAUAGCUCUGGGAAAAAUCAGUGCCAUCAUUACCUCUUGAUCCUUGUUGAGAGCGUCAUUGAACGGAUGGAAAACCAAAGGAAACAUGGUGUCGGGAUCUUCAUAAGGCAUCCAUGCUCACUGUUCUCUGGUCAGGCCUUCGUAUAGGGUCUGGAAGAAUCGGCUGACCUGGUCUGCGUUGCCACCUGUGCGGGGCAAAACUAUAAUAGCCUCGCCAAAGUUUAGAGGAGGACAAGUUGCCGAUUCUUCUUCAUCCAAUUCGUAGUUCUCGGCUAUGUCUCUAGGGAAACGUUGAGUGAAGAGGUUGAACUCAAGAUGCUUGUGCAUAUGGAGGUUAAGCCACAUAUUGAUAAACCACUAGGGGCCCCCUAGGUUGCUGAUGGGAUGGCCGAGCAGGAGUUUUCUGGCCACUUGAUGGAGGAGAUGGUAAGCUGAGCCUUGCAGGUAUCGGCCGAGGGGAAAUCGGCCACCGUUAGCCAAUCUCUCUGCUGCCGAUAGGUAGACAGAGGUUGGUCCUGCUGAUCGACCACAGAAUACAAAUUUAUCCAGCCACAUGUUCAGGAAGGUGGUUUGUUCCUUUAUGUUGACUGGCCCCAUUCUGCGGUACCUCUAAAUGUAUCCUGACCAGCCACCGAUAGCGCGGGUUUCUACUUUGGCACUAGGCGUGGUGUCAAACAGGUGACUGCUAUCGGCAGUGGAUACAUCUAAGCCGGUGAGCAUAAGCACAUCGGCAAGAGUGGGAGAAGCAGGGCCGUGACCAAAGACGAAGGUAUUGAGUGUGUCUGACCAGAAAUAUGAUGUAGCUAUCAGUAGUGACUCAUUCCUAUGCAUAUCGGCAAUGGAUAACCUGAUGCACUGAUCUAGUUUUCGCUCACCCCACUGAACCUCAUUUGAGUGGCUGACUCUCAAGAACCAAUCCUUCCAUCCUACAGUAGGACUCGGCCAGGAACGGAAAGUAUCCUUCCACAGAUCUAGAGAAAAAUUCUCGGCUCUAAAGGGGAUUCUAUUUGUUUCUGCAUUAAUCAGAUCGAUGUGAUCUGGAUUCCCUAGUGGGCCGAGACAUUGAAGGUGCGGCUGAUCGGUAGGGAUGACGAUUUUAUUGGACAGAUCCUAAUGGUUUUUGGGGAGAACAAAAGGAAAAAGUGGAAUGUUCAGUAAAAUAAAUUGCGGAUGAACAAGGAUAUGGUAAAAGUACAAGAGGUGGGGUGAUGAACUGACCUCGUGGACAGCGAAGUUGAUGGCCAUCUCCUUGUAAAGAAGAUGUUCGAAGACUUUGAGGUUGGUGAAGAAAGGCCUUCGUCGGAGUUCUUGGGGCUCUCAAACAGCGCCGCCGCUAGAAAAGUAGAGUUGAGGCUGUGGAAUGAUGUCAUGGAGAAGGAGUACCCGAGAAGGAACUAUUUAUAGGACAAAAUGGGCAAGGGUAAAACCGACUUAUCUCUUCGCCGUAUCCGUGAAAUCGGAGGGUACUCAGGUGGAUAUGGUAACUGUUCGCACGGUAAUCAAGGAAUUGUGCAGAUAAUUUGACAGGAAGCGGUCAUAAUCCGGAGAUAUUUCACUGUGCGGGAUUUCCUGAUCAGUCCAUCUUCAGCGCCUUGUAACGGUAAUAUUGCCGAUGAGCGAAUAAAGUGGAGAUGUCCGUUGGGGAGGUUGAGAUAUUUCAAUAUGCGGGAUUUCCUGGUCAGUCCAUCGGCAGUUCCUUGUAACGGUAAUAUUGCCGAUGGGCGAUUAAGGUGGAGAUGUCCGUUUGGGAGGUUGAGGAAUUCGAGGAAUCUACGGAAGAAUCAGGCCAAGGUUGUUCAGAUUUAGGCUGUCAGUUGUCAAAUUGGAAGCAUUGAUUGCGAAAAGGCAUUAUUACUGCAGAGAAUUUCGGAGCAUUAAUGGUUUCAUACUCCGAAAUUGGGGGCAUGUGUUGACACCGUUUUUGGACACGUACCCAGGAUCGGUAGAGUGUAGAUCGGCAAAAUAGGGCAACGGUAAUUGGUCUGCAGGAGAGUUGCCGAUGGGGGUGGUUGCCGAUGAAGGGAUAGCUGAAUGUGACUAAGUCCAUGGAUGGUGAUGUGUUUAUGCCGAUGGUUAGCAUUAGCCUGUGCCGAUGGCUAUGAUGAAGGGGUUGCCGACGAUCCAGAAGAAGAAGCUGAAGGUUGCCGAUUGGCUUGUGGUGGUUUGACACGGAAGGAUAGUUCUAUUAUUUUUCUUAGUUAUUUAAAUCGUUUUGUAUACGGAUUCUGUUUAAUUUGGAAUUUGAGUUCUAGUCGUGUCUGGUUGUAGCACUUUGAGCAGGGUAUAAAAGUAGACCCUAGGGCCUUGUAAUAAAAAUCAAUCAAUCAAUCAAUCAAACACAAGUUUUACUCGUAUUUCAGCAUCUACUUUCUCGACAACUUCAUCAUAUUUUUCCUUUUUUCAUUAUGAGUACUUCAGAGUUCGUCGACUUAAGCUCGGCGUAUUGUCAAGUUCCGCGUGAAUACCUCUUGGCAGUGGCAUCCGGGCGCAUCGCUGUUAUCGGGACCAAAGUAUUCGAGUUAUCACCUUUGCCGAUAGUAAGGUCCAAUCGGCUGGCACGCCUUAACGUUUGAAUCGGGUAUUAGCCCUUUGUAUUUGCAGAUCUAGCUUUUGCAUCAACAAUUGUGAUAUGCUUUUUCCCUUCAUUCUUCUAGCUUGGAGAGUUGCAUCUUCAUCUUGUCUCCAGCUGCUUCCAAGUCCAUGUUCCAUCUUUUGAUAGCCCAGUGAGCUUUGAAUUUUAUCUCCACUGGUAAGUGACAAGUUUUUCCAUAUACAAGUUGAUAGGGUGACAUCUCGAUGGGUGUCUUGUAUGUUGUCCGGUAUGCCUAGAGUGCAUCAUGAAGCUUGUCCUUCCAAGCUGUCCCAAUAUCAUUUACUGUCUUCUGUAGAAUAUUCUUAAUUUGCUUGUUUGAUGUCUCUGCCUGACCACUUGUCUGAGGAUGGUAAGGAGUAGCAACGUUGUGACGUAUCCCAUGCUUCGACAAGUAUUGCUCAAAGUGCUUGUUGAUGAAGUGAGAACCUCUGUCACUUAUCACUAUCCUUGGAACUCCAAAUCUUGGAAAUAUUAUUUCUUCGAACAUCUUCUUUGAAUGCAUACUAUCAGCAUUCUUGCAUGGCAUGGCUUCAACCCACUUAGAGACAUAAUCCACUGCCACCAGUAUAUACUCAUACUUCUUUGAUGGCGGAAACGGCCCCAUGUAGUCAAUCCCCCAGACAACAAAGAGCUCUAUCUGGAGAUUGUUGAUGAGUGGCAUGGCAUCCUUUGAAUUGAUAUUACCAUGUCUUUGGCAUGGCCCACAUCUCUAAAUAAACUAUCUCGUGUCUUCAUACAUUGCUGGCCAGAAGAAUCCACACUGCCAUAUCUUGGCGUGUGUUCGGAACACCCUAUCAUGGCCUCCAUAUGGUGAUGAAUGACAUCGCUGAAUUAUUUUGAUUCCUUCUUCUACUAGCACACAUCUUCUGAGUAAGUCAUCAGAGCAUACUCAGAAGAGAUAUGGUUCAUCCCAUAUAUGUGAACGACUCUCUUGGAUUAGCUUCCUUUUGUUGCAUCCUGGUGGUACAUAACCUGUAACCAUAAAAUUAACAAUAUCUACAUACCAUGGGUCAGAUCUAUUGAUUUCAUAGAGCAUGUUGUCCCGGAGUGAGUUGUCGAUGGGUACUUCCUGUGGAUUCUCAAAUUGCAUUCUAGACAAAUGAUCGACAAAAGAAUUUUCUACUUCCUUUUUAUCUUUUAUUUCUAAGGCCUUGUUUAGUUCACCCCAAAAACCAAAAAGUUUUCAAGAUUCCCUGUCACAUCGAAUCUUGCGGCACAUGCAUGAAACUUUAUAUAUAGACGAAAAGAAAAACUAAUUACACAGUUUGACUGUAAAUCGCGAGACGAAUCUUUUGAUACUAGUUAGUCUAUAAUUGAACAAUAUUUGCCACAAACAAACGAAAGUGCUACAGUACCGAAAUCCAAAAUUUUUUCGGAACUAAACAAGGCCUAAGUCAAAUUCUUGGAGUAAUAAAAUCCAUCUUAUCAAAUAGGGUUUAGCACCUUUCUUAGUGAGUGUUGACACCGUUUUUGGACACGUGCACAAGGACCAGAGUACAAGAUCGGCAGGUGGAGCAACGGUAACUAGACUGUGGAAGAGUUGCCGAUGAGAAAGGUUGCCGAUGAAGGGACGAUUCAGUAUGACUAAAUCCAGGAGUGGUGGCGCGUUCCUGACCGAGAACCAAUAUCAAGGUUUGCCGAUGGUCAUGGCAGGAAGAUUGCCGAUGACUCCACGGGAGUUGCCGAUUGACCCAUGGCGGUGUACUGGUCGGUUACAAGGGGAUAGUUUUAUGUUUUCCUUAGUUAUUUAAGUUCGUUUUGUAUACGGAUUCUGUUUAGUAUGGAAUAUGAGUCCUAGUCGUGUCUGAUUGUAACUCUUUGAGUAGGGUAUAAAUGACCCUAGGGCCUUGUAAUGAGAGAUUGAUCAAUCAAUCAAACACAAGUUUUUACUCAUAUUCUAGCAUCUACUUUUUUUGACGAUUUCGUCAUAUUUUCUUUUUCAUUACGAGUUCUUAGGAGUUCGUCGACUUAAGCUCGGCUUAUUCUCGAGUUCCAUGUGAAUACCUCUUGGCCGUGGCAUUCGGGCGCAUUGCUGUUGUCGGGACCAAAGUAUUCGAGUUAUCACCUUUGCCGAUAGUUAGGUCAAAUCGGCUGGCAUGCCUUAACGUUUCAAUCACGUAUUAGCCCUUUGUGUUUGCAGAUCCACUCUUUGCAUCAACACAUCUUUUGGCACGCCCGGUGGGACACUAUUCAAGAUCAAGAUCGACAUGUCGACUACUGAGUUCGAUCAGGAGAACGUCAUCCCUAUGACGGAAGCCAAUCUCAACGAUGAGCAGAAGCAAGCUAUUGCAAAAGCCAUGGAGGAUUACAAGCAGCAAUGUUUGAGAUCCUUCAGCAUCAAUAGGAGUGGUGAGGUGAUCCAGAAAGAAGCACUGCCGACCCCUCGGCAGGUUACUUUUGAAGCCAAUCCUGGUAAACUCCAAGACAUGGUCGAUAAUGCUAUCAACUGUGCUUUGAUCAACCAAGCUGGUGUGCUGUCCAAUACGGUUUUCAAUGCCGUGGCUAGAACUUUCAAAGAAGGACAAUUGCCACCGAACUAUGUGGGCCCUGUCUAUCAUCAGCAAGGAUCACCGGUGGUCACAGCUCCAUCGGCUGGAGCGGCCACUGCGGGCACAGAAACCACUGUCCCUCCAAGCACGCUAGGAGUCACUAACGCGCAAUCGACGCCGAUGACGACCAAUCCAUCGACUUUAGAUUGGUAGAUCAAGCUUGCUACAGAUCUAUUGGCAUCGGCGAUGUCGGGAUCGAUCCCUCCUCCUAACUGGUGGGGUUAUGGUAUGCCCCCAGAGCUGACAUUGAAGACACCUAGUACAUCUCAGAUGGCUCAUGUGGGAGGCAAGGCUCUUAUGGCAUCGGCAGCUCCAAAUUUGCCGAUGAAUCAGAGUCCCCAGUAUACUACAACCACUACUGCGAGGCCUUACACUGGGAAUUCUCAAGCUCCAAUGUUCCAGAUGCCUAAUGCAUCGGUAGAUUCAAUGCCGACGCAGCAGAGAUUUAUGGCUCAAUCAGGAUAUGUCAAUUCAAUGAUGAUCCCCAAUUACCAGACAUCGGCAGGGUCUAUGCCGAUGAAUGCUAAUAGUGGAUGGCCUGAGCAGCAAGUCUUCCCACAAAUGCCCCAACAGAAUCAUCAGGCUACAGGGUUCCAACAAGGCCAUAUCUACCCUUGAUUCCAGAAUCAGGGGUUGGUCAACCAGCCGAUGAAUCUCGGUGCUCAGCAGUUUGGUGGUCAACAGAUCGGUGGUGAGCAAAUUGGUGGCCAGAUGAUUAACCCAAUGUUCCAUGCAGAUAACGCACCACAUAGACAAGUGGAAGCAUAUCAGCAGGUCCCAGAUCUGCAACCACCUCAUCGGCAAGAUGCCAAUGCUCAUUGGACCGAUAAGAUUGCCGAAGUAAUGAGAGACCAAUUUGGGAUAAAACCCAAAGCGAACACUUAUUCUUAUCGGACACCGUAUCCUCCUGCGUAUGAUUUAAUCCCACUACCAAAUUGGUACAAGGUACCAGAUUUCACCAAGUUUUCUAGACAGGAUGAUACAUCAACCAUGGAGCAUGUCAACAGGUUCGUCAUCCAAUGUGGACAAGCUGCUAGCAGGGACGAGUUAAGGGUUCGCUUGUUCUCGUCAUCAUUAUCUGGAUCGGCUUUCACUUGGUUUAUAUCAUUACCUCCCAACUCAGUGAAUACUUGGGCCGAUCUAGAGAAGCAAUUCCACAAAUACUUCUUUUCUGGAGUCCAUGAGAAGAAGAUCACCGAUUUGGUCAAAUGGAAGCAACGCAAUGAUGAAUCGGUUGAGAGUUUUGUGUAGAGGAUACGGGAGGUCAAGAACAAAUGCUAUAGUCUGGUUUUGGACGAUCGGCAGCUCGUCGAUUUGGCUUUCCAGUGUUUGUUGCCACACAUCAGAGACAAGUAUGCAUCUCAAGAGUUCGAGAGCUUAAGUCAUUUGGUGCAGAGAAUUUCUGAUCAAGAUAUCAGGCCUUUUGAGCCCAAGAGAGCAUGGAACAAAAAGGUAUCAUUUGUGGAUAAAGCAGCAAGCUCGGACUCGGAUGAGGAACCAGUCAUCGGCGUGGCAGAAUGGGUAAAGAAUAAGAAGCCGAUGUCUUGCCCUUUUGGGCAUAAAGAGCCAGAGAAGUUUGUGUUUGACAUCACUAAAGCCGAUAGGAUAUUUGACUUUCUACUUCAAGAAGGGCAAAUCAAGUUGUCACCCAAUCAUGUGAUUCCAUCGGUUGAAGAGUUGAAGAAUAUGAAGUACUGCAAGUGGCACAAUGCAAGUUCUCACAGCACCAAUGAGUGCAAAGUUUUCAGGCAACAGCUUCAAUCGGCUAUUGAAUUUGGGAGGAUCAAAUUUGAUAGUUCCAAACCCCAGAAGCCAAUGAAGAUAGAUCAACACCCUUUUCCGUCGAAUAUGUUGGAUGCCAAAGGGAAAACUAAGGUGUUGGCAUCGGAAGCAGCUAAAAGAAGUGCAUCUGUAGAACCUCAGCAUCAAAUUACUGCCGCCGAUGCCAAAGGAAAAGGCUUAAUCCAGAAGGAAAUUGCUCAGGAAGGCCUCCCCAAUCUGGCAUUGUGAUAACUCAUAGAAGGCCUCGGGAGACUUGGCUGCAACGUGAGGAUCGGUAUCGACGCCAGCAAGAAGACUAUCAUCGGGAAGUAGAAAGACACUGACAAGAGUGGAAUCGACACAGAGAUCAUUGGAAUUGCCCGUUUUUCAUCCAUUGCUGGGAACAAAAUAUUAAAUUGCCUACUGUUAGAGAUUGCCCUGAAUGUAAUGGUUAUGAUCAGUAUGACAGAUCCGAUCGGCGCUAUCACGAUGAUAAUCGGCGAUUCAAUGGGCCGAUUAGGGAGAGGACGUCAGUUCAUGAUCGGCUGGGGGGCAGGCUCAGUGUGCUUGACAGGUUUGGUGAUCGUGUUGGAUAUUUUCCUAGGAAUCGGGAAGAGCUUGAAGAAAUGGCUAAUGCACGAGUUCCCGAUGAGUUCAUAUUUUGCAGGGACGCCAAUACACAUCGGAUGGAGUCAAGGGAAUAUCAUCGUCCAUCGGCAAGGCGGUCACCACUUCCCCCGUGGUGUCAAGAGGGGUUGACUAAAACACUGAAGAGGAGAUUGCAACAAGAAAGACGAGAAGAGAUAAGUAAGGGCGAGAACUCUGGCCAAUCUGGGGAUCAACAACAAUCAGAUCCUAAGGGGAAAGGGCCAUCGGCAGAUGUUAACAUGGUAUUUAUGUUGCCGAUGCAAUUCCUUGCGCCGUCCAGCGAUGAUGAGGAGUUGGAGUUUUUCGACCUGAUAGCUCAGUUGGCUCUAGAUCCGAUGACGGCUAUCUUUGAAAAGCCUGCCGAUAAUGAGAGGCACCAUCUUAAAGCCCUGUUCGUCAAAUUGAGAGUUGAUGGUUAGCCAAUGACCAAGAUAUUGAUUGAUGGUGGAGUUGCUAUCAACAUUAUGCCAUAUGCAGUCUAUCGGAAGCUUGGAAAAGGAGAUCAAGAUUUGACCAAGACCGAUAUGAUGCUGAAGGACUUCGAAGGGAACGUAUCUCCGGUUAAGGGAGCCAUCUGUGUUGGGUUGACCAUCGGCAGCAAAACCUUGCCGACAACUUUCUUCGUGAUCAGCGGAAAAGGUGCUUAUAAUUUAGUGCUAGGGAGAGAUUGAAUUCACGCCAAUUGUUGCAUUCCAUCAACAAUGCACCAAUGCUUGGUCCAGUGGGUAGGUGACAAGAUCGAAAUUGUCCCGGGAGAUUCUUCCUAUGUUAUUGCAUCGGCAGAGGCAGACACCUAUGAAAGAACUAGGUGUAUUUCAGGAUAAGUGUGGGAAAAAGAUUUCCUCAAAGUCGCCGAUUAUGAAAUUCCACCGAUCCAAGCAGUCGGUUCUGAUGAAGAGUUUUAAUGGAUAGGUUCGCUGAUGAUGGAAAAUUGGGCCAGGGAUUCACAUCGGCCGAUGAUUUGAUAGAAUUAGAUAUAGGUAGUGGUGAUAAGCCUAGACCUACUUUUAUUAGUGCUAAGUUAAAUUCUGAGUGUAAACAGCAGUUAACCAAUUUGUUAAAGGAAUAUAAAGAUUGCUUUGCUUGGGAUUAUACUGAGAUGCCUGGUUUAGACCGAUCAAUUGUUGAACAUCGGUUGUCUAUCAAGUCUGGAUUUCGGCCACAUCAGCAGCCAGCUCGCCGAUGCAAUCCUAAUAAUCUUCCUGAUAUCAAGGCCGAAAUAACCAAGCUUAUUGAAUCUAAAUUUAUUCGGCAGUGUCGAUAUGCCGAGUGGAUUUCCAAUGUUGUUUCAGUCUACAAGAAAAAUGGGAAGCUUCGGUUUGCAUUGAUUUCAGGAAUCUUAAUAAAGCUACACCGAUGGAUGGCUACCCAAUGCCAGUUGCCGAUCUGCUAGUUGAUGCUGCGGCUGGGCAUCGGAUUAUUAGCUUUAUGGAUGGUAAUGUAGGAUACAAUCAAAUAUUCAUGGCUGAAGAAGAUAUUCCGAAGACAGCAUUUAGGUGUCCUGGUCAUGUUGGGUUGUUUGAAUGGAUAGUCAUGACCUUUGGUUUGAAAAAUGCUGGUGCUACUUAUCAGCGGGCCAUGAAUUUUAUCUUUCAUGAGUUCAUCGGCAAGCUGGUGGAAAUUUAUAUUGAUGAUGUGGUGGUUAAAUCUGGAGAUUUCACAAAGCAUCUUGCCGAUUUGCGAAAGGUGUUAUCAUGCACAAGGAAACAUGGUUUAAAGAUGAAUCCCAAUAAGUGUGCAUUUGGUGUGUCGGCAGGACAAUUCUUUGUUUCAUGGUGCAUCAAAGAGGGAUUGAAAUUAGUAGGAGAUCUAUUGAAGCUAUCAAUAAAAUAGUUGCUCCUACCAACAAGACUGAGCUCCAAUCCUUGAUCGGCCAGGUAAAUUUUAUCAGGAGGUUUAUUUCUAAUUUGUCUGGUAAAAUUCGUGCUUUCAGUCCUUUACUUAAAUUGAAAGCCGAUCAAGAGUUCGUCUAGAGGAAAGAGCAACAAUUGGCCUUAGAUGAAAUCAAGAAUUAUUUGGUAAAUCCUCCGGUUCUGAUUCCACCUCAGCAAGGAAAGCCCUUCAGAAUGUAUUUAUCUACCGAUGGGAUGGUCAUCGGUUCCGCUUUGAUUCAAGAAUUUGAAGGGAAGGAGCGUGUAAUUUACUAUUUAAGCAGAAGGCUGAUUGAUGCUGAGACCAGGUAUUUGGAUAUUGAGAAACUCUGCUUAUGUUUGUACUUUUCCUGUAUUAAGUUAAGACAUUAUUUGCUAUCGGCCGAAUGCAUUGUUAUUUGCAAAGAUGAUGUGGUCCGAUACAUGCUAUCUAUGUCAAUCAUGAGUGGCAGAAUCAGUAAGUGGAUUUUGGCACUGUCAGAAUUCGAUCUGCGUUACGAAACGGCUAAAGCGGUUAAAGGACAGAUUAUGGCCGAUUUUGUGACUCAACAUUGUGGUGCAGUGGAGACUUUGGAAAUUGUACCUUGGACGCUCUUCUUUGAUGGAUCCACGUGUGACCGGGGGCAGGAAUCGGCAUAGUACUAAUUUCCCCUCGGGGAAGGAAAUAUGAGUUCUCCUUGCCGAUUGUUGCCACAUCAACGAAUAAUCAAGCCGAAUAUCAAACUUUGAUAAAAGGGUUGGAAUUAUUAAGGGAGGUUCAUGCUGAUGCUGUUGAAGUCUUCGGAGAUUCUAUGCUGGUUAUAAAUCAAUUGGCUAGAAGCUAUGAGUGCCGAAGCAGAGUCCUGAUAACUUAUCACGAAAGGAGUAUGCAAUUAUUAAAGGAAUUCAAAGAUUUCCGGUUGGAGCAUGUUCCUCGGUUGCAUAAUGAAGAGGCUAAUCGGUUAGCUCAGCAUGCCUCGGGAUAUUAACCUAUGUUAAACGUAAUAUCGGCAAUCAGUGCCAUUGAUUGGAGGAAAGAAAUCAUCGAUUAUUUAAAGGAUCCGUCCAAAAAAGUUGAAAGACAUAUUCGGUUUCAGGCCACCAAGUAUGUGCUCCUUGAAGAUGAAUUAUAUUAUCAAACUAUUGAUGGGGUUCUUCUCAAAUGCUUAGGUGAUGAUGAGGCUAAAAGUUUAAUGGGAGAAAUCCAUGAAGGAGUAUGUGGAGCACAUCAGUCCGCAUUUAAGAUGAAAUGGAUGAUUAGGGGGAACGGAUAUUAUUGGCCAACCAUACUUGAAGAUUGCUUUAAAUAUUUCAAGGGGUGUCAAGGAUGUCAGAAGUUUGGCAAUGUUCAAAGAGCACUCGCAUCGGCCAUGAAUCCCAUUAUUAAGCCUUGGCCGUUCCGGGGAUGGGCUAUUGACUUGAUCGGCCAGAUUUAUCCGCCAUCCAGCAAAGGACAUAAAUUCAUCUUGGUUGCCACUGAUUAUUUUACUAAGUGGGUUGAAGCUAUUCCUUUGAAAAAAGUUACAUCGGCCGAUAUGAUUGAUUUCAUGAAAGAACAUAUUAUUUACCGAUUUGGAAUUCCUCAAAGAAUUACUACCGAUCAGGGUACUAUGUCUACAUCAGGGGAGUUUGAUGAAUUUCCAAUCGGUAUGAGAAUUAAAGUAUUAAAUUCUUCUCCUUAUUAUGCUCAAGCUAAUGGGCAGGCCAAGGCAUCUAACAAAGGAAUUAUCAAGCUUAUUAGAUGGAAGAUUGAAGAAAAUCCUAGGAGGUGGCAUACAUUGUUAAAUGAAGCUUUAUGGUCAUAUCGGAUGGCUUGUCAUGGGUCGACCAAAGUUUCACCUUAUCAGUUGGUGUAUAGACAUGAUGCAGUGUUACCUUGGGAAAUUAAGACUGGGUCUAGACGACUGUCUUUUCAAGAUCAAUUGGCUGCCGAUGAUUAUACUACUUUGAUGACAGAUGAGUUGGAUGAUCUAGUAGGGCAUCGACUAAGGGCUUUGAUGAGUAUAGAAGAGAAUAAAAAGAGAGUUGCCAGAUGGUAUGAUAAGAAGGUAAAAGCCAAGGAGCUUGAUGAUGGAGACUUAGUAUGGAAGCUAAUCUUACCGAUCGGGACUAAAAGUUCAAAAUUUGUGAAGUGGUCUCCCAAUUGGGAGGGUCCCUAUCGGAUAAGUCGAUCGGCUCCUGGUAACGCCUAUAUUUUAGAAACUCUCGAAGGACUUGAAUUUCCCAGAGCAUUAAAUGGAAAAUAUCUAAAGAAGUAUUACCUAAGCAUAUGGGUCGGCGCAUAAAAGUUUAAGUGCCGAUAACAUUCCUAUCGGUUGGAUCAAAAUGUAUCUGGGGACGGACUUAAUGUUCUAAAAGGAUGCCGAUAACAGUCCUAUCGGCUGCACCAAAAUGACUAGAAGAAAGAAAUAAAGCACGCCGCCGAUGAAGAGUUCACAUGUCUAACAGAGCCUGGAUGGUUGAUAUGGCGCGCAGACAGAUUUGGUUGGCUUCUUCUAUCUCUUUGAUGUCUUCAUCGGCAGAGCCUUCCACCGGCUUCAGCUUCUUCUUCAUUUGCAUUGCUUUGCGAGCUUGGAUAUUUCGUUCUUGCUCAAGGGUCUUGAUCAUCUCGGGCAGCUGGCUUUCUUCCUGUUGAGCUUGAGAUAGAGCUUCUUCUACUUGUUUGAGUUCUGCUAGCAAGGCAUCUCUCUUUGCCGAUAGAUCAGAGACCUUUUGCUUCAGCACAUCUCCUGAGGAUUUUAGAAUGCCGAUGCUCUUAUGCUUCUCAUCGGCAAGGAGUUUCACUUUCAUCAUUUCCUCUGAAAGCUGAGCAUGGGUAGCUCUAUCAGCAAGACGCUGAGCAGCCUUUUGAUACUGCAGCUGACAACUCUCUAGGUGUGCAGCCCGAAAAAGGAUCUCCUCGGCAUCGGCCGGAAUUUGUCCUCUAAGAGUCUUGAACAGAGCCUUGGCUGAGUCAGAGUCAUCGACCAAUUGUGUUGUGUCUUGAUGGAGAAGAGCUGAUAGAUCUGUCAGCUUUGCUUUGAUCUCUGCCGAUGAGAUUCCAACUGCUCGAGAUGAACUUGCUUCCUCGCCUUCAUCCUCAGAGAUCUCAAUGGCGAAGGAGAACAGGCUAUCGGGACAAUCCUGUUCCUGGAAGAGAAAAGAUAAAAUGGGUUAUUUGUGAUCAAGCACGAGCAGUGAUAAGAAUGGAGUUUGGGUAACUUACUUGCUUCAGAGCUAUUUCUUGCCUCUGACUAGUGGAGGCCGAUGGAACUACGGGCUGAUCAGUUGAAAUUGCCGAUGAGACUAUGUCAAGAAUCACAGAAGUAAUUAUAAGUUGGAAAAGUAGGUUCAUCGGCGAUGAUUUCAUGGAGAAUAUGUUACCUUGAGGGGGUGCAGUGCUUGUCUGGAUCGAGGAAACUACCGAUGCUAUGAUUAAGCUUGCUGGAUCGGUAGUCUGCUCGCGCACAUCAGCCAAUGUUUCUUCCGGCUGAGGUACUUCUGGCUGGGGUUCUUCUGGUUGGAGUUCUUCCACUUGGGGUGCUUCUUGUGGCUGAGAAGGAGAUGGUACCUGCUGUGUCUGGGUUUCUGGAGAAGAGGGAGAAGAUUCCACCGGGAUCGGUGACUUUGGAGGAGGGGAAGGUGUUGCUGUCCUCUGGCGCUUUCCUUGUGAUCUGGUGCUCUUAGAGCCUUUCCUCUUCGGUUGACUGGACUAGGGGGCAUCUGCAAUCAUACUUCUGGUCUUUGCCGAUGUACUAGUGUGCUGGUACAGCAGUAAGAAGUUUGUGAGUACAAGUAUGAUAAGUAUAAGAAUGAAAUCGGUGUGAAUAAGAGAAAUCGAAGGUUCACCUUGAAGGCUUGUGCCAAAGUAGAGGCUGCUACCGACGGGGACGUUUUCGUCCGCUUGGUGGUAACUUUCUUGAGGCACACACCUCGAUGCAUUAUAGCAGCCAAGGUGGGAGCAUUGUUGCCGAUCGAGGAGAUCGAACCUGAUGGAAAAAGCUCAAUCGGCUUGCCACUACUGCUGACCGAUGGUGGUGUAUCGUCAACCUGCAUGUGACAAAGAAAGGGGUUUACCGAUUGAAAACGACAGUGAAGAAAUUAAAACAUCGGUAUUGAGAUACUUACAGCAUUAUCAGGGACUUUGUACUCGGGAUCAAUCAUGCCACGGUAUGUGAGAGCCGAUCUGCAAAACAGAUGUUCCUUCCAUUCUUCCCACCAUUGUUUAUAUGCCUGAGUGAUGAAGAGAGCUGGAACCCAAGCCGAUAGAUCAACGUUUGUAUCGGCAUUCGGUGGGAGUUGGGCUACUCUAAUCCACUCAAGACAGUUGGUGAUGGUCUCCCUUGGCUUUAUCACAUCGGCGUAGCAGAGUGCAAUCGACAUUUGGCCAAAAGCUAGUUGACGAGCUAGUGCCGAUGGGUUGUAGAAUUCAUAGGUCUGGACAGAAGCUUUUCCACCACCAAAGAAGUUAACUGGUAUGGCUCUUGGGGUGAUGAUUGCCAUCAUCACAUCGUGAUCCUUGUUGAGAGCAUCAUUGAACGGAUGGAAGACCAAAGGAAAUCUGGUGUCCGGAUCUUCAUAAGGCAUCCAUGCUCACUGAUCUCUGGUCAGACCCUCGUACAGAGUCUGAAAGAAUCGGCUCACCUGGUCUGCGUUACCACCUGUGCCAGGCAAAACUAUGGCAGCCUCACCAAAGUUCAGAGGAGGACGAGUUGCCGAUUCUUCUUCAUCUAGUUCAUAAUCCUCAACUAUAUCCCAUGGGAAGCGCUGUGCGAUGAGGUCAAACCCAAGGCGCUUAUGCAUGUGGAGGCUAAGCCACAUAUUGAUGAACCACCAGGGACCCCCUAAGUUGCCGAUGGAUUGGCCGAGCAGGAGUUUCCUGGUUACUUGGUGAAGGAGGUGGUAAGCUGAACCGAGCAAGUAUCGGCCACCAUUAGCUAAUCUUUCUGCUGCUGCUAAGUAGACAGAAGUUGGUCGUGUCGAUCGGCCACAAAACACAAAUUUAUCCAACCACAUGUUCAGGAAGGUGGUCUGUUCCUUUAUGUUAACAGGGCAUGUUCGUUGGUAUUUUUUUAUGUACCCUGACCAACCACCGAUAGAACGAGUUUCUACCUUAGCACUAGGUUUGGUGGCAAAAAAGUGGGUGCUAUCGGUAGAAGAUACAUCUAAACCAGUGAGCAUAAGCACAUCGGCAAGUGUGGGGGAAGCAGGAUCAUGGCCGAACAUAAAAGCAUUGAGUGUGUCUGACCGGAAAUACGAUGCAGCAAUCAACAAUGAUUCAUUCCUAUCCAUAUCGGCAAGGGACAACCUGAUGCAUUUAUCCAGUUUUCGCUCACCCCACUGAACCUCAUUUGUGUUACGGACUCUCAGAAACCAAUCCUUCCAUCCCUUGGUAGGACUGGGCCAGGAAUGGAAAGCAUCCUUCCAUAGAUCUAAAGAAAAAUUCUCGGCCCUAAAGGGGAUUCUGUUGGUCUCUGCGUUGAUCAGAUCGGUAGGAUCUGGGUUCCCUAGCGGACCGAGACAUUGGAGGUGUGGUUGAUCGGUAGGGAUGACGAUUCUAUUGGACAGAUCCUAGAAGUUUUUGGGUAAAAAAGGAGAAAGAAAAGAAGAGCAAAAGGAAGGAAAAAAGCAUUCAGUAAGAUGAACUGCGGAUGAACAGGAGUGCCAUAAAAAUACAGGAGAGAAGUAGAACUGACCUCAGGCACGAUGAAGUUGACAGCCAUUUUCUCGUAGGGAACAAGAUUGGAGACUCGAAGAUUGUUGGAGGGAGUUCUUGUUGGAGUUCUUGGAGCUAUCGAACAGUGCCGCCACUAGAAAAUUAGAGAUGGGGUUGUAGAAUGAUGCGAUGGAGAAGGAGUACCCGAGAAGGAAGUAUUUAUAGGACAAAACGGGCAGGGGCAGAUCUGACUUAUCUCUUUGCUGCAUCCGUGAAACCCGAGGGUGCUCAUGUAGAUAUGGUAACUGUUCGCACGGUAAUCAAGGGAUUGUGCAGGUGAUUUGACAGGAAGCGGUCAUGAUGUGGAGAUAUUUCACUAUGCGGGAUUUCCUGGUCGGUCCAUCGGCAGCUUCCCCCAACGGUAAUAUUGCCGAUGGGCGAAUAAAGUGGAGAUGUCCAGUUUGGGAGGUUGAGGAAUUCGAGGAAUCUGUAGAAGAAUCGGGCCAGAGUCGGUCGGUUACCAAAUUGGGAGGAUUAAUUGCAGAAAGGCAUCAUUAAUGUAGAGAAUUUCGGAGCAUUAAGGAUUUCAUACUCCGAAACUGGGGGGCAUGUGUUGACACCGUUUUUGGACACGUGCACAAGGACCAGUAGAGUACAAGAUCGGCAGGUGGAGCAACGGUAACUAGACUGUGGAAGAGUUGCCGAUGAGGAAGGUUGCUGAUGAAGGGACGAUUGAGUAUGACUAAGUCCAGGAGUGGUGGCGCGUUCCUGACCGAGAACCAAUAUCAAGGUUUGCCGAUGGUGAUGGCAGGAAGAUUGUCGAUGACUCCGUGGGAGUUGUCGAUUGACCCGUGGCGGUGUACUGGUCGGUUACAAGGGGAUAGUUUUAUGUUUUCCUUAGUUAUUUAAGUUCGUUUUGUAUACGGAUUCUGUUUAGUAUGGAAUACGAGUCCUAGUCGUGUCUGAUUGUAACUCUUUGAGCAGGGUAUAAAUGUAGACCCUAGGGCCUUGUAAUGAGAGAUCGAUCAAUCAAUCAAACACAAGUUUUUACUCAUAUUCUAACAUCUACUUUUUUCAACAAAUUCGUCAUAUUUUCUUUUUCAUUAUGAGUUCUUAGGAGUUCGUCGACUUAAGCUCGGCGUAUUCUCGAGUUCUGUGUGAAUACCUCUUGGCCGUGGCAUCCAGGCGCAUCGCUGUUGUCGGGACCAAAGUAUUCGAGUUAUCACCUUUGCCGAUAGUAAGGUCAAAUCGGCUGGCACGCCUUAACGUUUGAAUCGGGUAUUAGCCCUUUGUGUUUGCAGAUCCACUCUUUGCAUCAACAGUGAGCAAGUAUUUUAAAGCAACAUGAUUAGAAUAAAUAAUUACUUUAGCUCCCACUAAGUAAUAUCUAACUUAUCAAUAGCAAAAACAACAACUAGGAGCUCUUUUCAGUAGUAGCGUAAUAAAGAUGAGGUCCUAUCAAAGUUUUGCUAGCAUAACCAAUUGCAUGAUGCUUUUUAUCUUUAAUUUGUCCUAAUACUGCCCCCACAGCAUAAUCACUAACAUCAUACAUAAUUUCAAAAGGUAAAGACCAAUCAAGGGGUUGAAUGAUUGAUGCUGAGAUGAGUGUUUUUUUUAAGAAAUUCAAAAGCUUGUAAACAUGCAUCAUCAAAUUCAAAAGGAACAUCAAUGCCUCUUUUAGACACUAAGUGUCCUAGCACUAUUCCUUCUCUAACCAUAAAAUGACAUUUUUCCCAAUUAAGGACUAAGUGCUUUUCUUCACACCUUUGCAAAACCUUAUCUAAGUUUUCUAGACAAUCAUCAAAGUUUUUCCCGUAAACAUAAAAAUCAUCCAUGAAAACUUCAAAAAUCUUUUCAAUCAUAUCAAAAAAUAUAGACAUCGUACAUCUUUGAAAAGAAGCAGGUGCAUUACAUAACCCAGAAGACAUUCUACGAUAAGCAUUGGUUCCAUAGGGACAUGUAAAAGUGGUUUUGCUUUGGAAAUUAGGAUAGAUAGGGAUUUGGGGAUACCCUGAAUAUCCAUCUAAGAAACAAAAGAUGGAAUGCUUGGCUAACCGCUCUAGCAUCUCAUCAAUGGAAGGCAAUGGAAAGUGAUCUUUCUUAGUUGCCUUGUUAAGUUUUCUUAGUUGCCUCCAUCUUGUGAUAGUGCGUUGAGGGAUUAACUCAUUCCUCUUAUUUUGGACAAUAGUCAUACCUCCCUUUUUUGGUACAACUUGAACAGGGCUUACCCACUCACUAUGCGACACAGCAUAAAUGAUGUCUGCAUGCAAUAGUUUUAAAACUUCCUUCUUUACAACCUCUCUCAUCGCAUUGUUGAGUCUACGUUGAGGUUCUCUAGAUGGUGGGAUAUUAGGAUCUAUAGGAAUGCGAUGGGUGCAAAGAGCAAGAAAAAUUCCUUUGAGGUCCUGGAGUGAGUAGCCAAAUAUUGAGUGAUGUUUUUCUAGGACUGGCAUUAGAUGAAGAAUCUGCUCCUGAGUGGGUUUAUCACUUAUAAAUAGAGGAGACUCUAGAUCGUCACCUAGAAAAGCAUAUCCAAGACGAUAAAGGUUUAAGCACAAUAGGAGGUUUAGGUGGUACUGCAAACUCAUCUAAACGUUCUUCAUCAGAAGGGUCAGCUUCUUCUUAAAUGAAGAAUCUAGCUUCAUCUUCUAAUCCUGGUUUGGCUAAAAAGUCUAAGGAUGCAGCUCUAAAUUCCUCCAGCGGGUCUUCUUGUGGAUAAGGUUCGGUCCUAGACUUUAAAGAAUGUGAGAUGGACAAUGGGAAUUGAAGUUUCUUGCCUAAGCGAAUUUUUAGCUUCGCAGAUUGUCCUUCAUAGAGAAGCCGCCUAAAAGGUUGUCAUAUCAACAGGUCGAAGUCCCAUAUGUCAAAGAUAUAAAAGCUUAAAUGCAUAGUGGUUCCUUCUACCUGGCUGGGUAGGAUGUGUAGGAUUCCUAAACUAGAGAUAAUAUAUCCUGAGAGACUUCUCAUGAAUAUUAUUGUUGGGAUUAAUGACAUGUCUUGUAUUAAGUGUUCUGCAAUUGACAUAGACAUGAUAUUUAUCCCUACAACUGUAUUAUAGAGAGCUUUUAUUUGAUCUAUAUUAAUUAUGCAAUUAAUUGGAAUAGAAGAUGAAUCUAAACGGAUUAUUUUAGUGGAAAGCUCUGAUUUUUCUAACCAUCCAUUAAUUAUAACAGAUACUAAUUCUCCUGACAUUCUUCGAGAAGUAAUAUCCUUAGGGAAAUCAAAAGACUCUCUAGAGUUUCUCUAUGGCCUCUUCAUAGAGUGAUAAUUCAAAACAUUUCCAAAUUCAAAAAAGAGAUCAGGUUCUAUGUCUAGCAUAAAAUUGGAAACGGAAUUUCUUCUUUUUCUUGCUCUAGACAUGUGUUAGCUGAAGUAGAUGGUGUGUUUGGCAAAGGGUUGGUUUCAGCUAAUUGGGGUUGAGGCUCUACAUUGAGGAGGUAAUCUAAUUCAGUGGAUAAGAUUUGGUCUAGGAUUAAUCUUGCUUUCUCAGAAGAGACAUGCAAGAAAGAUCCUCUUGAUGUAGUGUCGAGUAGAUACCUACGCUCUAAAAGCCCAAGUUUGGUUUUGGUAAUUAAUGACACCAAGUUGCUAAUGCCUUGUGUUUAAGUGAUUUGAGUUAGGCAUAGCAACACAUGUGAUGAAGGUGCAUGGUGGCAUGGAAAGGUGGCCACAUGAUCACAUAGGGAAGAAGCAUGAAGUGGAGAUCAUCGUGAUAGACGAGGAGCAAAGUUAUCAAGGCAAAGCUAUAAACAUAGGGUUUUACUUUUGCCGGUCUAAGAUGAGUAGAGAAGUGAUUGACCGGGUUUAGGAUAGAUAGCUGACUAUCAAGAGGGGAAAUCACGGUUAUCUCUCGAAUCAAGUGCUACCAGGUCCAUAUCUUGAGCAUAUGCAUUAGGAUCUAGUAAAAUGCUAACCUAACUCCUUUGGGAAAUUGUUUGUGAAAAGCUAACACACAUGCACUUUGGUGGUGGACACUUGUUGGUGUUAGCACAUUUGCAAAGGAGAGAAAAAUAAGUGUAUAUUUUCUAUUGCGCCGAUGGGAAAUUUGGAGAAGUCGUGGGAGUGUUUUCUCACUGAGAAACACUCACCGGACGCUGAGUGCGGAGGCACCGGACGCUGGCCUCAGAGUCCGGUGUGCUUAACCCUGCUAGGGUUGAACACCAGACGCGCUCUGAGAGCAUCCAGUGGUUAGCGUCCGGUGUGGAGGCGUUUUGCAACCCUCUCUGUGUUUUAGUCUGGUGGCUCACGUCCGGUGACUCAGCAAGUUUGCGGAACUCUCUGCGCAUGAGUCCGGUGUGCACCGGACGCAUCCGGUGUGGACCUGCAGAGCGUCCGAUGGUCCGCAGGUGACCGUUAGAAUCUGACACGCGAGAUCCAUAAAAGACAUGUGGCCAACCCCUGAGCACCGGACGCUGGGGGUCGAGCGUCCGGUGAUCACUUGGUAGCGUCCGGUGCCCCCGUUUUCAGCCCAGUGAAAACAGCCAACGGCUAGUUUCUUUGAGGGGGCUUAUAAAUAGAGGGUGUCUGGCUUUGGGAGGUUCUCUCUUGCACAUUUGAUUACUUGAGGCAUACUUUGAGCUAGAGAACACUCCCUCCACUCAUUUCCUUGCUUGAUUCCUCAUCCUAGUGAGAUUGAGUGAGAUUCAAGUGCAUUACUUUGAGAGUUGCAUUUAGUGGCACUUGAUUCUUGAGUUUGCUAUGGAUUUCUUGUUACUCUUGGGUGUUUCCCGAUACCCUAGACAGCUUGGAGAAGCGGUGGCGUUGAGCUCGUGAUUGGAGAUUAUUUCGAGCCUCACCAAGUGAUUUGUGAGGGGUUCUUGAGCCUUCCUCGCGGAAGAUCGCAAUUGGCUACCCUAGUGGAUUGCUCGUGGCUUGGAGGAUCCUCAUCUUGUGAGUGGAUGUGCGGCACCCGCUGAGGGUUUGGCUUUGGAUUGCCAAUUAGCUCGUGAUCCAUCAACUGGGUGUAUCGCCACAACGAGGACUAGCUUGCCGGGAAGCAAGUGAUCCUCGGUAAAAAAUCUUGUUUCAUCUCUUGCCGAGGAUUCUCUUGUAAUUGUGAUUGAUUGAUUGGCUAUAAUUCUACUCUACAAUGUUGGUAUAACAAUCACUCCCCUCUCCUUUACUUUUGUGCAUACCUUGCUAGUGGUGUAGCUUGUUUAGCUUAGCUAUCUUAUUUGGGAGUGUAGCUAGCUUCUAGUUGUGUUUUCUUGUUGUAGCUAGCUUUUAGCUUUCUUGCUAGACUUGUGUAGGUGGCUUGCAUAGCUUAGUUGUGCUAGUGCUAGAAUAGCUUCGCCUUUUAUUUUACUAAUCAACUUGUCUAGUUGAAGUUUGUAGAAAAUUUAAAUAGGCUAUUCACCCCCCUCUAGCCAUUUGGACCUUUCACGUUCUCUACUUAGACCUUUAUAAAAUUAUUGUAAAAGAAUAGGUUCUGGUAGACUAAGGUCCGGGCCAGAUGCUAAAAGUGUAGUAAAUCGAUUCCAGGCUGAAGCCAAAGAAUCUUUAGAUUUUUGCUUUAUAGUGAGAACCUUGACUCCAAGGUCGAUGAUUUGGGAGAUGGGAUAGAAAUCUAGGCAAAAGUUGGAAUGUAAAGAUCCCCAAUCUCCUUGUUGCUUACCUACGGCUCUGUUAUACCAUUGUCUAGCUUUUCCCAUUAAUGAAAAGGGAAAUAGCUUCCACCAGAGAGUUUCAUUAGAUAUGCCUUCAAUGUGAAGAAAGUCACAUGUUUGCUCAAAGUCUCUAAUGUGUAGGUAAGGAUUUUCAUCUCCUUCUCCUAAAAAGAUAGGCUUUGGACCAAUGCAAUCAACCGCAGACUCUUCCUAUAGCUACAUGUUUGGAUAGGUUGUGAUGACUCAUGUGGCAUUAGGCUGGUCUCUGUGGGUGUAGAGAACUGAAGGAUAGGAAUGGAAUUUAAGGUAUCCAUAAAAUAAAAGGUAAGAAGUAAGAAAAAGUGAGAUAACAGAAAAACAUAAAUGUGUGAUACAAGGUAGAGUAAGAUAAGGUUAUCUAAGGAGAUCGUCUUUCUCCCUGGCAACGGCGCCAGAAAUGAUUGUUGAUAUUAGUUACGCACACAAAAGAAUCAAAGAGAAAUAAUCCACAAGCACACAGAUAUCGGUGAGCACUUCACCUGGGAGAUAAGUCUAGAGUAUCAUAUUUAUUUUUUACCACUACGAGAAAGCAUCCAAAAGACUAACCUUUUAUCCUACCUACUACCCACAAGUUGCUUACCUAUGGUAAGCGUGCAAAAGACUAACCUUUUAAGCGAUAUAGAGAGAACUCUUUCUUCAGUCUUCUUCUUACCUAUGGUAAGUGUGUAGAUUUCGUUCUAAGGGGUGUAACUAGAGAAAAGAGACACCUCAGAGAGUGCUUAACCGUAGUACCAUAUACCCUACGUUACCUCCUGACAGGACGUGGAUUACUAAGACCCAAUAGGAUUGUCACUUCCCCCAAAAGGCUUCCACAAAUAUAGGCAAGCAAGGAGUAUCUACGAGUAUUCCUAGCCCAAGCACCGCACUUACGCUACGAAUAAUUACUAUAUUCCCUAUGCUAAGCAAAUAAAGUAAACUCGUAAACCAAUGAACAAUAAGAACAACAACUUACUAGUAUUAGAAGUUGAAUUGCCAAACAAUUCUAGAACCAAGGCUCGGGUUAGGAGACUUGACCCUGAAGAUACAAAGAAGAAGGCACCGACAGGCCGGGCUUCCUCAACUCCUAUCCUCACCCUAUACUUUCUCAAUCUCUCUUGUUGCUAUCACCCUAAAGAAAUAGAUCUAUUUGAGGGACCCCUCUCUGUCUAACUCUCUCUAGAAAAUAUGAAUUAGGGUUUCAGAGUUACAUUUCAGGGGGUCAGGGUCUUUAUUUAUAGCCCCCUAGGAAUCACCACAGCCCUUGGAUCAAACCAACUUAAACAUGUGCUUAAGAUUAAUCCUCAAAGUCGGUGGACAUAGGAUCUGCGAGGUUUGCUCCGAUUGGUGGAGAGCCCCGGGCGGUUGCCCCUGAUAGGGUGGGGCGCCCAUCCCUGUCCUAUGGCAGGUGGGUCCCAUCUUUCAUGUGGUGGCUCCUAGAGUAUUCUACAUUGUUCAUAAGUUGACGUUGCGGUCUUCUGUAACACACUAGGUGUUAAGCAUGCACUUAGUCUCAUCAAACCAUUCAUAAGCAUCCUCAUCAAGCAUAGCAUCACAUAAGCAUGUCAUCCAUUCAAAGUGUGAUUUUAUGUGCUUUAUUUCAGGUGAAUUAAAUAUGCUAAAAAUAUUAUGCUUGUUUCAAAAAUUGUGAAAUAUUCAAAUUAGGUGGAACUGAGUGUUAGAAUAUUUAAGAGUAAUUUUGUGAUAUUUUUGGAGCCAUAGAAAUUGAGAAAUUGAUUUUUGUACUAAAUUCCCAAAAAAAUAGAUUUAUUUAAAAACCUAUAACUAGUUUGAGUUGUAUUUCAAAAUCUAUUUGGAAUUUGUGAAUUCGACUUAAAACAAAGUUGUAGGGUUUUUGUUUUGGAACAAUUUUCAUUUUGGGAGAAAAAGGUGAAAAUGAAUUUAAAGUGGUCCAAAGGAAUUUAGAAAGAGUUUGAGAAAAGAAAUUCAAAAAGAAAAAAUAGAAAAGGGAAAAGGGGGCGCUAGCAGGCCGCGGCCUCACUUCUGGCCCGCUCGCCGAAGCCGGUCCAGCCCGCCCGCACUCUCCCAUUCCCCGCGCCCGCGGUCGCGCCCGCGUCGUGUCCACGCGCGGACGGCCGCGCCGCGCCGCCGUGGCGAGCCGGCAGAACUCGGCUGCCGCGUGGCGAGCAUGCGAUCGCCUGGACGCGCCCUGGUCGGCCACCAGGAGCGCCCGGCCGCGCCCGCCUCCGCCCUCGCUGCCGUUUGCGCCCGUCAGCUCUCGCUCUCUCGCACUCUCGCCCUCGCUCCUCGCGCGCAGAGCGCCGCCGUCGCCAUUGGAGCCCGAGCUCCGCCUCCACCGUUCUCCCCCAGCGCGUGCGCCAUUCUUCGAUUCAUUCUCCCCCGAGCUCCGCCCUCGCUCCGCCGUUGCGGAACACACGUCUGAGCGUUCGGUCAGGCACGGUGAGCCUCGCUCGCCCUCGUUUCUUCUCCAGCGAGAGCGCCGCCGCCGCGCACGUGGUCUGCAUGCCUCCGUGCCUUCCGGUGCCGCUUAGUUAGCGCGUCGUGCUCGCCUUGGCACCACGAUGCUCGCGAGCCACUCCAACCGUGCUCUACCGGGCCAACGUCUCGGGACGACGGUGAGCAGCACCGCCGCUCUGCCAUGGCCGGUGGCGAGCCUGCUCCGGUCCGUUUCAGGCCGCGCAAAAGGGUGCGCUAGGUUCACCUUGAGCCGUAGAGCGUGUAGGGCAACUUGAUUCGCCGAAAGAGAUUGCCGAAGGUGAGCUCCGGCUCGCCGGAGCUCUCCCCUCUCUGCGCUCUGGCCAGCGGGUCCGCUCGUCAGCGACCGCGGGUGCACUGCACCGGGUGCACCUAGCUGGUCCCGGGGUGGAUUUGAAUUGUUUUUCAGAAAAAUCAUUUCCAGAAAAUGGUUUAAAUGUUCAAAAAUCCAUAUCUUGAGAUCCAUAGCUCCAAAAUUCAUGAAAUAAAUUUUAAUGUGUUCUAGAAUCUCAGUUCUGCAGUUUGGUUAGAUUGCAUGUCAUGUUUGAGUAACUUUUCUGUGCAAUUAUAUUUAAUCCAUAUUUUUGCUGGAAUUGGAAAAUGCAUAGUAAUCAAAGUAUAACUCAGAAAAAUAUGAAACUUUUUUUGCUGGCUCUGCAUGUAUGAUUAGUUACUGGAAAAAUUUUGCUACACAUCAUUUGCUGAAUAAAUAAAUUUAUGGUGAUUGAAAUGCUUGCAUGGCAGUGGUUUAUGAUUUUUAAUAAAUAUUUGGAUCAUGCAAUUAAUUUGGAAAUUUUUGUGGGUGUUUCUUAUGAUAAUAAGCAAAUUAUAAAAAUAUGAAAUCUGUUGUUUGACACUUAUAUCACAAUAGAGUAUUUAUACUUGCUUGUGUGAAUUAAUCUUGUGAUUUUUGUAGCUCAAAAUAAGUGUCCAAAAAAAUUAUGAAAAAUUUAUGGUAGGCUUUAUGUUUGGCUGGUAGUCUCCUGUAAUUUUUGUGGAAUUUAUUGAUAAACAGAACUGCAUGCUAUAUAGAUGGGCCUAAAAAUGAAUAAAGAAAUUAUGAAUUGUUAUAUAUGGUGUAAAUAGAAUAAAAGGGGGUUGGUGUAUCUUUGAAGCAUCUUGUGAGUUUGCUGGUUACACUUGAGGAUAAAUUGUAGAAGAGAGGGAAAUAGAUGAUUAGUGGAUGAUGUUGACUACCUUGUAAAAUGACCACAUAAAUCAUCUACGCACCAUGUCAUAGUCAUCUGGAAUUCUAUCGCAUGAGCAUUACACCCCGGGCAUCUCGCACUCCACUCAUGAGCACCCAUGCAUCAUACAAGCUCGCAGGAGAAUGAGGUGGGACCCGAGGAGCAGGAGGAAGCACAGGAGCAGGAACCUCUGGGAGUGUCAGAACCCGAAGAGGAGCUGCAAGAGUGCCGGAUCAUAAACCGAGCACGUUCGAGAAAGGCAAGCCCCGGAGCAUUCUAAGUCUCCCAAUUCUCGCUGACUUAAAUAUUAUAUUACGCUUGUUCUACUAUGCUGCAUUUAAGUAGUAGGAAUUGCUUGAUACCGUUGAUGCAUAUAUACUCCUUGUUAUCACUACUCGUUUAUCUACCUUGUCCUAUGUAGAUAGCUACGGAGUCUAUGCUUAGCUUGCUUAGUCCGGCAGAAGUCCGGUGAUCUUCUGUCACCUGCGAGAUAUAGGUGGAUACCUGGUUAUUUAGCGGUGACUUCUUUGGGGAAGAAUAACCAAGUGUGGAAUGGAAUUUGAGACCGGGCAGGGUCUUAUGGUGGGUUGACUAUAGUGCCCCUGCCUGUGUCGAUUAAAGACCGAUCAUUGACGGCCCUCUUGUCAUGUUGAACGCAUGCCCCACAUUUAGCUAGAAGGAUAAGUCGUUCCGACCGCGAAGCCUGAGCACUAUCCGGGCCGGGAGUCGGCCCGAUGUACGCGCUGUAUUGGUGGUGGUUCAGGAGAACAACGAGGGCGUGCAACCUUGGUAUAACUUGGAUACCUCGGUCGCCGGAACGGUCCUCGGGUACGGGCGGUGCCUGUCGAACCCGCGAAUUGGUCCUGGAUAGUGCAACACGGUGAUCUGUAGCUCACUUGAUCACUGAGUGUGGUUUGUUUGGGGAAUAACUUGCCAGCUGGUUAGAAAUCGUUUCGAAUCGCCAUCGCUCCUGGACAGUGAGCACUUGACAUGAGCCCUGUCCUCGUAGUAAGGACUAUGGAACACUUGGGUUAUAAUGAUAAAUAGUUUCAUGAAUGUUAUGGUGAGGUACCAUCAUAUUAUUACCUUUGUUUGCCAUAGUGCAGGUGCAAACCUAGAUAAUAGGUAAUGAUACUUCAACUUGAGCUAAUUAAAAGAAGAAGGAUCUCUGUAGGAUAUGCUUAAUAGAAUAGAGCUUUUAUGCAAAAAGUCAUCAGCUACCCCCACUAUACAGCCUUCAUGAUCCUUGAAGAGUCGUUAUUUUCAGUUUAUGAUGGGUAAGUCUAGCUGAGUACAUUCUCGUACUCAGGGUUCUAUUCCCUUGUUGUUUUGUAGAUGGUCAAAUGUACUAUGGUUAUUGCCUCCUCUGCUUGUACCUAGCUAUGGGCGAUGACUAGACCAAGGGCGAUGGUCACUCUAUCUUCUCUUUUGCUUUUGUGGAAAUGACCAAAACUAUGGCACUAUAUCAGACUAAGUAUGUGUGUGUUACUUUCGAACCAUGAAGCUUCCUCUACAUGUGAACUUGGUUUGUAAUAACUUUAGACACUCCGAUGUUUUCGAUGGAUGGUUUCGAACUCGAUGUAAUUGUGGAUGGUGACCGCUGAACUUAUUAUGAUCUUGGCUGUAUGUACGAUAUGUGGUUUGGAAUCCUUCGAGAUUUCACGGACUACCGGGAUUAUAUGGGCUUAAGCUCGAUGGUUUGACUACGCAAAUGGUCGCUAUUAGGCUUAAUCUCUUAUAAUUUGGACAGUUCUAUUACAGCUGGCAUCGGAGCAAGGUUUAGCGAGUUACUGUUCAUAAGUACGUUCUAAACUAAAUUUGAACCGGUUAAAUAAAAGAUUAUUCUUAAUUAAUGAUAAUCAAGUUGUCAAACUAAGUUUUUGGAAAACUAUCUAGUGUGCCAUGGUCAUAUCCUUUAUGCCCAGUUAAGGACUCUAAGGUGGCUAGUAAAAGUACUGACUUGGGUGUUAAUGCAUCAUAUUUCUAUUUCGUCGCUCAUACGGCGUGCAAUAGUAUGAGUACCAUUCAUUUGAGUGGUAAUGUAUGGAUCAGUUUUUCCUCUACGCCUCGGUAAGUGGGAGUUAUGAGAUCAUGAUCGGAUACACUGCCGAUCUAGGGGAAUGUUGUUAGGUGCUGUGUCAUGCACACAUGUUUGGUGUGCUUGGGAACAGUACCGCAUGUUGGGAGAUUCCGUCCUGAGAGGCGAUGCCGUCAGUAGGGCGAAGAUGUGGGUAGCAACACGUAAUAUGCAUGGACGGGUGUCUGUGUAUGUGGGGUGUAUAGCUUUAAAUUAGUGUUCUGCAUGUUCAUACUGUGGUUGGGCUGAAAUGAGUUUUCUGCAGGUACACUAACCACGUUCUCGCUUAGAACGCUAGUUACGUUAUGAGAGAAUGCUGUGUGCCACCGCAUAUACCGCUUAGUGUUAAAUUUUGUUUCUAAGUUUGUGAGAUCGUAUGUCCGUGCAUGCAUCAUGUUCAUUUCAUAUCAUUGCUUACUUUCCCCCCUUAAUUCAAUCUGUCCCAAUUCUAAAUAAAAUAAUUAAAGAUAAUCCGCAAUCUUACCCAAGGUAUUCCAUUUGCAGCAGAUGGCAUGCACUAGGCUCACCGCUCGCAAGUCCACUGGUGGGCCGGCCCCUCGCCACCCGUUGGCAGCCAGGAGCUCGUGUCAUAAGAGCAAGUUCCUGGAGGAGUUUGGGAUGCCCACCUUGCCAUGGAGGGUGCUCAGUUCGAUGGGGUAUCCUGAAGGAAGGGAACCUCGCUACUACUGGGACAAGGAGCAGCUUGGUGACCGCACCCUGGUGGGGAUCGAGGCAGUAGUCCCCACUAGUGGAGGUGACCCCGCCUAGGGUGGCUGGGUGUACGAGUCCCCGAGGUGCCACGCCUUUCCACGGUGCCAGCAGGGCAGCUUUCGCAGUUCUGAGGGACCUCAUGGAGAGGUUCCCCCGGGAGCUAGUGAAAGCCCUAGUUUGGUUUUGGAUAAUUGAUGAAACCCUAGUACUAACCUCUAUGCUAAGUGUGUGUAGACUUAAUGAGGUUGGUACAUGCCAAGUGAUGGAGCAAGUGAUGAUCAUGGUGAUGAUGGUGAUGACCACAAGGUGAUCAAGUGCUCAACUUGGAAAAGAAGAAAGAGAAAAACAAAACCCUAUGGAGAUCAAGGCAAAGGUAUUGCUUAGGGUUUUGGUUUCGGUGAUCAAGACACCAUAGAGGGUGUGAUCACAUUUAGGAUAGAUAGCCGUACUAUUAAGAGGGGUAAUCUCGUUGUGAAAACGGUUGUCUAAGUGCCACUAGGUGAUUAAAUUCCUUGCAUGUGCAUUAGGACCUAGUGAGCUAACUAAGUAACCCUUGAAAAAUGUUUUGAAAUAUGCUAACACACGUGCACAAGUGUGGAGACACUUUGGUGUUGGCACAUGGAAGCAAGGGAAGAAGUUGAGAAUCAUUUCGCGCUGAUUUUUCAAGCCAGACGCGUCUGGUAUGAGGUCGGACGCGUCCGAGUUGAGGCACCGGACGCGGAAAUAGUUUUCGCGUACAGUCCGGUGUGCCUCGUUCGGUGAGUUUGUUUCUCGGUGAAACUCUCUGAGUUUGCGUCCGGUGCACACCAGACGCGUCCGGUGUGAACUAGGACACGUCCGAGUUGGCGUCCGGUGCAAACUCCUCCUGCAGAGCUCUCUGGGUGUGAGUCCGGUGCACACCGGACGCGUCCGGUGUGUGCGUCCGGUGUGGCAACCGGUGUUGGCUCAAGUUUGCGAUGCUCCCUGAGUUUGGGUCCGGUGCAUACCGGACGCGUCCGGUGUGACACUGGACGCAUCCGGUAUUUCAAAAGUGAGCGUCCGGUGCCUUGUCAGUGUCAGAGGCAACGGCUACUUUUCUAACAGUCAGGAGCACCGGACGCUGGUCUCGCUCAUACCGGGCGCGUCCGAUGUGAACUAGGACGCGUCCAGUGUGAACGCAGACAGUGGGAUUUCCUGCCUACGGCUAGUUGAAGCUUGGGACUUCUUUUUAUAUGCCUUGGCUGGUUCUUGCUCACUCUCUUGACUCUCUAACUUGAUGAUACACCUUGUGAGCAUACUCCCACACUUCCCACUCACCUUGUUCAAGAUCUGUUCAUCCAAAGUGAGAUUGGGAGAGAUCCUAGUUGCAUUUGCUUAGAGUUUGAGCAUCUAGUGGCACUAGUGAUCGUUGAGCAGCGGGUUUGCUUGUUACUCUUGGUGGUUGCCGCCACCUAGAUGGCUUGGAGCUGCGGAGGAGCUUUGGCACGAGUUGGUGAUUGUUCGUGGCCAUCUCCCGGUGAUUGUGAGAGGUUUGUGCCUACCUCGGCGGAGAGCCAAAGGCAACAUUAGUAGAUUGCUCGUGUCAUUGAGCUACCUCACUUGUGGGUAGGUUCUUGUGGUGUCCUAGUGAGGACGAGGUUCAUGCUACACCUCUUAGCCACCGAACCACCAAGUGUUGGUCGACACAACGGGGACGUAGCGUGCCGGCAAGCACGUGAACCUCGGGAGAAAAAUUGCUUGUCUCCAUUGUGUUUGUUCAUUGGAUUUCUCCCAGUGAUUGGACUUCACAUUAUUGAUUGGUUCAUCCCCUCUACGCGGCGGUAUAAAGAUCAAUCCAUCUCUCUUACAUUUCCGCAAACUAGAAGUAGCUUACUUGCUUGUAUAGAAACUUUAGGUAGCUUUCUAGUGUAAGUAGUGACAUAGCUCUUGUGUGCAUAGUGAUCAUAGCAACUAGAAUUGUUGGAUAGGUGGCUUGCAAACACCUCUUUAGAGCUAGAGCAAAAAGCUUCGCUUUGUUGUUUACUAACCUCUUGCUCUAGUGAGUUUGUAGAAUUUUUUAAUAGGCUAUUCACCCCCCCUCUAGCCAUAUUAGGACCUUUCAGCUGGCCUACGCCUUCGCUAGGGUGUUUCCCUGGGGUGACCCCUACACUUCGGUGUGGGAUCAGUCCGAUGUGAGCGCUCUAGAGAGGAGUGCAGAUGAGGACCAGCACAGUGACAGUGUAGCUAUGAGUGCUAUGUACGCCUUGAUGAAGACCUACGGGGGCCUGGAGCGAUGUUUGGGGCGCUUGUCCGGGUCUCUUCUCAUAGUCCAGGAUGAGAAGUGUCGGUUGCAGCGUGAGUUCGACACUGAGGUUGAGAGGCUGCAGGCAGAGUUGGCCUGCGUGACCCGAGAGAGGGAUCAGGCGGUCCAGAAGAACAGUGAGCUGAGCCAGGACCUGCUUGCAGUGAGAGAGCAGCGAGACAGGGUGACUACUGCUCAUAGGAACUGCGAGCACAUGCUAGUUCAUGUGCUUGGUCAGAGGAAUGAAGCCUGGCACGAGGAGGACACCCUGAGGGCACGACAGCUAGAGCUUGAGCAGUAGCUAGCUAAUGCUGAGGAGUACAAUGAGAACUUGCAUGAGGAGAUCCACCAAUUGCAUAACCAGCUUCACCCUCACCACCUGCCUGGAGCAGCGGAGUUAGGCUCUAAGGACGAGAUGGAUGAGGAUCCAUAGAUAGGGGAAGCUGCUAGUGGAGACGAGGACGAGGAGAGCUCCGGCAUGGACAGUGAUCAUAGCGAGUAGACACUAGAGCUCUAGAGCUAGUCCUUCUUCUUUUGUUGUUGAUGUUGCAUGCCAUGUCUUGUACUUUUGGAUCUGGGUUAUGUAAAACUUUAUGUGAUGGCGCUGAAAGUCCAGUGUAUGUAUGCUGGCAAUUUUGGAUGUAUGCGAACCUUAUGCUGGAAUAUUAAGUAAUCUGUUAGUGAUGUUGUGCGUGGAUGAUGAAUUGUUGUGCCUAUGUUUAUUGCGUGAAUUUAUUUCCUCAGUAAAUUCAGUAUGACAUAAUUCUACGCAUGUCUACCGUUGAUGGCAACUCCUAACGAUUGCUUAUCGAUGACGCAUGUAGAUGGUGCAAACACGUGGCGGGGGUAACAGCAACCCGGGUCUUGGAGCAGGUACAUCCGGAGGUGGGGCUCAACGGAAUGAGGACAGAGCACCAUCACCGCCACCCCCCCCACCUCCUCCGUACACUGCGGACAUAUUUUUCGCACAGUUUCUGGGAGUCAACGCAACAUGGAACAGAUGUAGCGCAAUAUGGAAGAAGCCCUGCGCAACAUAGCCGACAACACCCGCCGUGGGGAUAACCAGGGCGGCCGUGAAGCCAAUCCAUACAGCUCUUUCAAGGACUUCAUGGAUACCAAGCCACCAGUCUUCAAGAAGGCGUUGGAACCACUCGAGGCGGAUGAGUGGAUCAACACCAUGGAGCAAAAGUUCCGUCUUCUUCGGAUGACUGAAGAACUCAAGGCUGAGUAUGCGGCACAUCAGCUGCAGGGACCUGCUGGGAUUUGGUGGUCCCAUCAUCAUACCACCUACCCAGAGGGGACCCCGAUCACGUGGAACCGCUUCACCACCGCGUUUCGGGGAAAUUAUAUUCCUCCGGGUGUGGUGGAAAUGAAGGUUGGGGAGUCCAUGAGGCUGUCUCAGGGGACGAAGUCUGUGAAGGAGUAUCUCCAUGCUUUUAACAAUCUCGCUUGCUAUGCCCCCGAGUUUGUAAACACGGAGGCCAAGAAGAUCGCUAGUUUCCAGAGAGGUCUGAGCCCAAAGAUGCUGAAAACCAUGGGUAUAGGAACCCGGGCUACCUUAAAUGCUUAUAUCAGCGACUGUCUGACCCAGGAGAACAAUAACAACAACUAUAGUGCAUCCAAGUCACGUAAAAGGGCUUUUGAAGCUGGGUCCUCUCAGUCCAGGGCACCAGUGGCAGGGCGACAGCAAUAUCGUCCUCCUACCCCAGGUGCUAGGUUCCGACCGCUGCAGAGAAGGAACACCGGGCAUCCAACGCAGCAGAAGCCGUACAAGGUGGCGAUAGCUCCUGCCAAGCCAAAGGCAAUUCAAGCUGCGGCACCUGCCGCCAACAAUGCGACCAAGGGUCCGUGCUACAACUACCACAAGAUGGGGCACUUUGCUAAGGAAUGUCCCUACCCCAAGAGGCAACAAACGACCUACCUAGCCCGUGUGCACCAUACCUCGAUCGAGGAGAUCCCGGAAGGAGAACCAGUAACAGCUGGUAUGUUUCUUGUCAACCAACAUCUUGCAGUCGUUUUGUUUGAUUCUGGAUCAUCGCAUUCAUUCAUGAGCCAAGCAUUUACACAAAAGCAUGACCAGCCAGUUACUGAGUUGGGUUAUGGCUAUCGCAUCAGCUCAGCCAGGGGUGAUGUGUUGACUAACAGAACAGUAACAGGGGUUACCUUGGAUAUCAGUGGCUGAAUGUUUUGUUUAAACCUUGUAGUCAUGCCAGGGUUGGUUUUGUAUGUUAUCAUUGGAAUGAAUAAGAUGACCGACUGGGGUGCAGUUAUAGAUGCUGGAAAUAGAACUCUUUCCCUCAAGAACCCGCAGGGAGAAGUUGUGCUUCAGGUCAAGCUACCUCGACGGCUAGACUUCGCUAGUCUUUCGUGUGCAGUACAAGUAGUUUCACUAGAACGCAUACCAGUGUUAUGUGAGUUCCCUGAUGUUUUUCUUAAGGAAUUACCCGGACUUCCUCCAGAUAGGGAAGUAGAGUUUGCAAUAGAGUUGAUACCAGGUACUGCACCGAUAUCUAGAAUGCCAUACCGGAUGCUGCCAAAUGAACUCACUGAGUUGAAGAAUCAACUAAAAGAAUUGCUAGAUAAAGGGUUUAUCCGGCCUAGUUCGUCGGAAUGGGGUUGUCCGGCGUUGUUUGUGGAAAAGAAGGAUCAAUCGCUGCGCAUGUGCGUGGACUAUCGUCCACUCAAUGCAGUGACCAUCAAGAAUAAGUAUCCUUUGCCCAGGAUUGAUAUUUUGUUUGAUCAGUUGUCCAAGGCAAAAGUGUUUUCCAAGAUAGACUUGUGGUCUGGGUAUCACCAGAUCAAGAUUCGCCCGCAAGAUAUCCCGAAGACUGCUUUUUUCACCAGAUACGGGUUGUAUGAGUAUUUGGUCAUGUCCUUUGGGUUGACGAAUGCUCCUACGUACUUUAUGUAUCUGAUGAAUUCGGUCUUUAUGCCAGAGUUAGAUAAGUUUGUUGUAGUGUUUAUUGAUGAUAUUCUAGUUUAUUCAGAAAAUGAGCUAGAUCACGCCGAGCAUCUGAGAUUCAUGCUAACGCGAUUACGAGAGCAUCAGUUAUAUGCAAAGUUCAGCAAGUGUGAAUUCUGGUUGAAGAAGGUUCCUUUCCUAGGGCACAUUCUGUCUGAAGAAGGGAUUGUUGUGGAUCCGUCAAAAGUGCAGGAAGUCAUGGACUGGAAGGCACCAACUUCUGUCUCGGAAUUUAUAAGUUUUCUUGGUCUGGCCGGGUAUUAUCGUCGUUUCAUACCCGACUUCUCCAAGAUUGCUAAGCCGAUGACUAGUUUGCUACAAAAGGAUCAUAAGUUUGUCUGGACGGAGGGAUGUGAGCUAGCCUUCCGCACCUUGCGAAAGUUGCUAACCACCGCUCCCGUUCUGGCGCAACCCAAUAUCGAGAAGCCUUUUGAUGUGUUUUGCGACGCAUCGAAAAGUGGCUUGGGAUGUGUGUUGAUGCAAGAUGGCAAAGUGAUAGCUUACGCUUCACGACAGUUGAGAAAGCACGAAGUCAACUACCCAACUCACGACCUCGAGUUAGCAGCAGUAGUGCAUGCUUUGAAGAUCUGGAGACACUAUUUUCUAGGAAAUAAGUGUCAUAUCUACACCGAUCUUAAAAGUCUGAAAUACAUCUUCACCCAGUCCGAGCUUAAUAUGAGGCAACAAAGAUGGUUGGAACUGAUCAAGGAUUACGAUUUGGAAGUCCACUAUCAUCCAGGCAAGGCUAAUGUAGUAGCAGACGCUUUGAGUCGCAAACAGCACUAUCAAGUGGUUCAACCUCUGUUUGAAGAUGGUUUCAAUCUAAUGCAUCCUGAAGUUUUAUGUCACAUACAGCUUAGUUGUUCACUUGAAAGCCAAGUCAUCGAAGGUCAGAAAACAGACAAGGGUAUUUUCCACAUCAAAGAAAAGAUCAAAAACGACCCAAAGACUCAAUUCAGAGUUGAUGAAAAAGGGAUAUUGUGGUUUCAGCACCGGCUGGUAGUUCUGAAGAAUCAAGAAUUGAAGAAUCGCAUCAUGGAUGAAGCCCAUCUCUCCAAGCUUUCUAUUCAUACUAGCAGUAGUAAGAUGUACCAAGACCUAAGAUCUCACUUUUGGUGGACCAAAAUGAAGAAAGAAAUAGCCGCAUAUGUGGCCCGUUGUGACACGUGUUGCAGAGUCAAGGCUAUAUAUAUGAAACCUGCAGGUUUGUUACAACCGUUGUCAGUGCCAGAGUGGAAGUGGGAAGAGGUCAGUAUGGACUUUAUCAAAGGGUAACCGACAACACGAAAGGGGAAUGACUUGAUUUGGGUAAUCAUAGAUCGAUUGACCAAGUCGGCUCAUUUCAUUCUUGUGAAAACUCAUUACCGACCUCAUGAGUAUAAGGAUAUAUAUAUAGCUGAGAUUGUCAAGUUACAUGGCAUUCCCAAGACCAUCAUAUCAGAUAGAGGGCUGCAGUUCACCGCUCAUUUCUGGGAGUGAAUGCAUAAGAGUUUGGGGACUAGUCUAAUAAAAAGCACCGCGUAUCAUCCCCAAACCUCGGGACAAACGGAAAGACUUAACGAAGUCCUAGAAGAUAUGCUGAGGGCCUGUGUACUAUCGUCCAAGGGAUCAUGGGAAUCGUGGUUACCAUUGGCUGAAUUCUCAUACAACAAUAGCUAUCAAGAGAGUAUUAAGAUGGCUCCGUUCGAAGCGUUGUACGGUCGUAAAUGUAGAACUCCGUUAAACUGGGUCGAACCUGGGGAAAGGAGAUACUAUGGCAUCGACUUCAUGAACGAGGCCGAAGAAAAAGUGCAAAUCAUACAGCAGCAUAUGCAGGCGGCACAACGCGACAAAAGAGUUAUGCCGAUAAGCGAAGGAGACCACUUGAAUUCAAUGUAGGUGACUAUGUUUACCUCAAAGUUACGCCAAUGAAGAAAUGAAGAAAGUUCAGCGUUUUCGAGUUCGAAGCAAGCUUGCACCCAGAUAUGUGGGACCGUAUCAGGUACUAGAGAGGAAAGGCCCUGUGGCCUACAAGAUUCAGUUACCUGAAGAGUUGAGUUCGAUCUUUCCAGUUUUCCAUGUGUCCCAACUACGAAAAUGUUUAAAAGUACCCGAGCAGAGGAUUGAACCCCGAGGAAUCAAAAUAAAGGUAGACUUAGAAUAUAAAAUGCAGCCAGUGGGUAUCGUAGAUACCAAGGAGCGAGUAACUCGGAACAGAGUUGUCAAAACAUACAAGGUGGUGUGGAGUCAUCAUGAUGAUAGGGAUGCUACCUGGGAAACCGAGGAUUACGUAAAAACAGUUUACCCAAAAUUUCAUAACAAAUGGUUAGUAACCCAAAUCUCGGGAUGAGAUUUCACUAAGGGGCGAAGGGCUGUAACACCCUAGGUGUUAAGCACGCACUUAGUCUCAUCAAACCAUUCAUAAGCAUCCUCAUCAAGCAUAGCAUCACAUGAGCAUGUCAUCCAUUCAAAGUGUGAUUUUAUGUGCUUUAUUUCAGGUGAAUUAGAUAUGCUAAAAAUAUUAUGCUUGUUUCAAAAAUUGUGAAAUAUUCAAAUUAGGUGGAACUGAAUGUUAGAAUAUUUAAGAGUAAUUUUGUGAUAUUUUUGGAGCCAUAGAAAUUGAGAGAUUGAUUUUUGUACUAAAUUCCCCAAAAUAGAUUUAUUUAAAAACCUAUAACUAGUUUGAGUUGUAUUUCAAAAUCUAUUUGAAAUUUGUGAAUUCGACUUAAAACAAAGUUGUAGGGUUUUUGUUUUGGAACAAUUUUCAUUUUGGGAGAAAAAUGUGAAAAUGAUUUUAAUGUGGUCCAAAGGAAUUUAGAAAGAGUCUGAGAAAAGAAAUUCAAAAAAAAUAGAAAAGGGAAAAGGGGGCGCUAGCAGGCCGCGGCCUCACUUCUGGCCCGUUGGCCGAAGACGGCCCAGCCUGCCCGCGCUCUCCCCUUCCCCGCGCCCGCGCCGUGUCCACGCGCGGACGGCCGCGCCGCGCCGCCGUGGCGAGCCGGCAGAACUCGGCUGCCGCGUGGCGAGCAUGCGAUCACCUGGACGCGCCCUGGUCGGCCACCAGGAGCGCCCGGCCGUGCCCGCCUCCGCCCUCGCUGCCAUUUGCGCCCGUCAGCUCUCCCUCUCUCGCUCUCUCGCCCUCGCUCCGCGCGCGCAGAGCGCCGCCGUCGCUAUUGGAGCCCGAGCUCCACCUCGACCGUUCUCCUCCAGUGCGUGCGCCAUUCUUCGAUUCGUUCUACCCCGAGCUCCGCCCUCGCUCCGCCGUUGCGGAACACCCGUCCGAGCGUUCGGUGAGGCACGGUGAGCCUCGCUCGCCCUCGUUUCUUCUCCGGCGAGAGCGCCGCCGCCGCGCACGUGGUCUGCAUGCCUCCGUGCCUUCCGGUGCUGCUUAGUUAGCGCGUCGUGCUCGCCUUGGCACCACGAUGCUCGCGAGCACUCCAACCGCGCUCUACCGGGCCAACGUCUCGGGACGACAGUGAGCAGCGCCGUCGCUCCGCCAUGGCCGGUGGCGAGCUUGCUCCGGUCCGUUCGAGCUGGAGCUCUCCCCUCUCUGCGCUCUGGCCAGCGGGCCCGGCUGGCAGACGGGUCCGCUCGUCAGCGAUCGCCGGUGCACUGCACUGGGUGCACCUAGCUGGUCCCGGGGUGGAUUCGAAUUGUUUUUCUGAAAAAUGAUUUCCAGAAAAUGGUUUAAAUGUUCAAAAAUCCAUAUCUUGAGAUCCACAGCUCCAAAAUUCAUGAAAUAAAUUUUGAUGUGUUCUAGAAUCUCAGAUCUGCAGUUUGGAUAGAUUGCAUGUCAUGUUUGAGUAACUUUUCUGUGCAAUUAUAUUUAAUCCAUAUUUUUGCUGGAAUUGGAAAAUGCAUAGUAAUCAAAGUAUAACUCAGAAAAAUAUGAAACUUGUUUUGCUGGCUCUGCAUGUAUGAUUAGUCACUGGGAAAAUUUUGCUACACAUUAUUUGCUGAAUAAAUGAAUUUAUGGUGAUUUAAAUGCUUGCAUGGCAGUGGUUUAUGAUUUUUAAUAAAUAUUUGGGUCAUGGAAAUUUUUGUGGGUGUUUCUUAUGAUAAUAAGCAAAUUAUAAAAAUAUGAAAUCUGCUCUUUGACACUUAUAUCACAAUAGAGUAUUUAUACUUGCUUGUGUGAAUUAAUCUUGUGGUUUUUGUAGCUCAAAAUAAGUGUCCAAAAAAAUUAUGAAAAAUUUACGGUACACUUUAUGUUUGGCUGGUAGUCUCCCGUAAUUUUUGUGGAAUUUAUUGAUAAACAGAACUGCAUGCUAUAUUGAUGGGCCUAAAAAUGAAUAAAGAAAUUAUGAAUUGUUAUAUAUGGUGUAAAUAGAAUAAAAGGGGUUUGAUGUAUCUUUGAAGCAUCUUGUGAGUUUGCUGGUUACACUUGAGGAUAAAUUGUAGAAGAGAGGGAAAUAGAUGAUUAGUGGAUGAUGUUGACUACCUUGUAAAAUGACCACAUAAAUCAUCUAUGCACCAUGUCAUAGUCAUCUGGAAUUCUCUCGCAUGAGCAUUACACCCCGGGCAUCUCGCACUCCACUCAUGAGCACCCAUGCAUCAUACAGGCUCGCAGGAGAACGAGGUGGGACCCGAGGAGCAGGAGGAAGCACAGGAGCAGGAACCUCUGGGAGUGUCAGAACCCGGAGAGGAGCUGCAAGAGUGCCGGAUCAUAAACCGAGCACGUUCGAGAAAGGCAAGCCCCGGAGCAUUCUAAGUCUCCCUAUUCUUGCUGACUUAAAUAUUAUAUUAUGCUUGUUCUACUAUGCUGCAUUUAAGUAGUAGGAAUUGCUUGAUACCGUUGAUGCAUAUAUAUUCCUUGUUAUCACUACUCGUUUAUCUACCUUGUCCUAUGUAGAUAGGUACGGAGUCUAUGCUUAGCUUGCUUAGUCCAGCAGAAGUCCGGUGAUCUUCUGUCACCUGCGAGAUAUAGGUGGAUACCUGGUUGUUUAGCGGUGAUUUCUUUGGGGAAGAAUAACCAAGUGUGGAAUGGAAUUUGAGACCGGGCAGGGUCUUAUGGUGGGUUGACUAUAGUGCCCCUGCCUGUGUCGAUUAAGGACCGAUCGUUGACGGCCCUCUUGUCAUGUUGAACGCAUGCCCCACAUUUUGCUGGAAGGAUAAGUCGUUCCGACCGCGAAGCCUGACCACUAUCCGGGCUGGGAGUCGGCCCGAUGUACGCGCUGUAUUGGUGAUGGUUGAGGAGAACGACGAGGGCGAGCAACCUUGGUAUAACUUGGAUACCUCGGUCGCCGGAACGGUCCUCGGGUACGGGCGGUGCCUGUCGAACCCGCGAAUUGGUCCUGAAUAGUGCAACACGGUGAUUUGUAGCUCACUUGAUCACUGAGUGUGGUUUGUUUGGGGAAUAACUUGCUAGCUGGUUAGAAAUCGUUUCGAAUCGCCAUCGCUCCUGGACAGUGAGCACUUGACAUGAGCCCUGUCCUCGUAGUAAGGACUAUGGAACACUUGGGUUAUAAUGAUAAAUGGUUUCAUGAAUGUUAUGGUGAGGUACCAUCAUAUUAUUACCUUUGUUUGCCAUAGUGCAGGUGCAAACCUAGAUAAUAGGUAAUGAUACUUCAACUUGAGCUAAUUAAAAGAAGAAGGAUCUCUGUAGGAUAUGGUUAAUAGAAUUGGGCUUUUAUGCAAAAAGUCAUCAGCUACCCCCACUAUACAGUCUUCAUGAACCUUGAAGAGUCAUUAUUUUCAAUUUAUGACGGGUAAGUCUAGCUGAGUACAUUCUCGUACUCAGGGUUCUAUUCCCAUGUUGUUUUGCAGAUGGUCAAAUGUACUAUGGUUAUUGCAUCCUCUGCUUGUACCCAGCUAUGGGUGAUGACUAGACCAAGGGCAAUGGUCACUCUAUCUUCUCUUUUGCUUUUGUGGAAAUGACCAAAACUAUGGCACUGUAUCAGACUAAGUAUGUGUGUUACUUUCGAACCAUGAAGCUUCCGCUACUUGUGAACUUGGUUUGUAAUAACUUUAAACACUCUGAUGUUUUCGAUGGAUGGUUUCGAACUGGAUGUAAUUGUGGAUGGUGACCGCUGAACUUAUUAUGAUCUUGGCUGUAUGUACGAUAUGUGGUUUGGAAUCCUUCGAGAUUUCACGGACUACUGGGAUUAUAUGGGCUUAAGCUCGAUGGUUUGACUACGCAAAUGGUCGCUAUUAGGCUUAAUCUCUUAUAAUUUGGACGGUUCUGUUACCUCUAUGUAAAUCUGACAUGUGGACCUUCUUUUGUUAUUAUUCCGGUAACCCCUUGCAAAAAUAGACAAUCACCAAAACUCGUGGAAUUCUAUUAGUGAUAACCCUAUUUCUACUGAGGGCUAGCAAAUAGGUCCUUUUCAUUUUAAGUUGAUGGUUAAAAUUAGGAGUUAUCUACCAUCAACACUCAACAAUGUGAACUUAAACCUUAGUGGUGACCUCAACCACAAGAUAAAUCAUUGUGUCUUGUGUGCUGUUGCACGUUCUCUCUUAUGUUCAACCCUUUCUAGGGUUUGGAGGCUCAAUCUAUUUCCAUAGGAGUUUUCUAUGGCAUCCAGUCUUGGAACUAGACUUUGUCUUGAUUUUGUAGGAUUGUAUAGUUUAUAGUUUCAACUUACUUUCUGCAAAAUCUCAUUCCUAUCUAACCUAUACUUGAAGGCCAAUAGUGCCACCCUCUAUGCUAGUGGUGUAGCUUGUUUAGCUUAGCUAUCUUGUUUGGGAGUGUAGCUAGCUUCUAGUUGUGUUUUCUUGAUGUAACUAGCUUUUAGCUUUCUUGCUAGACUUGUGUAGGUGGCUUGCAUAGCUUAGUUGUGCUAGUGCUAGAAUAGCUUCGCCUUUUAUUUUACUAAUCAACUUGUCUAGUUGAAGUUUGUAGAAAAUUUAAAUAGGCUAUUCACCCCCCCCCCCUCUACCCAUUUGGACCUUUCAAGUGGUAUCAGAGCCGAGGCACCGUUUAUUUGAGGCUUAACAACCUUCGGUGAAGAAAUGGCUCUUAGUUUGCAUAUCAACAACACUAAGAAGGCACCUUACUUUGAUGGCACAAAUUAUGCAUAUUGGAAGGUCAAGAUGACCGCCCAUCUCAAGUCAAUCAAUAGAGAGGUUUGGAAGGUAACCGAAACAAAGUUUGAGGUGGCAAAUGAAAAUGCACCAACGCCGGUUGAAGAGAAGAAGAUACAAUGCAAUGAUAUUGCCAUUAGUGCUCUUCACGAAGCUCUUGAUGACAAGACCUUUGAGCAAAUCAAGAACAUUGAGGUUGCUCAUGAUGCGUGGGCAAAGCUAGAAGAAACAUUUGAGGGCACUAAGGGAACCAAGACCGCCAAGGCUUACAUCCUUCAAGAAAAAUUCUCAGGCUUCAAGAUGCAAGAAGAUGAAAGUGUGUCCGGAGAUGUUUCACCAGUUGCAAGUCAUAGUGAAUGAACUCAAGGCACUUGGGGAAGAAGUAAAAUAUAGUCAAAUUCUCCAUGAAAUUCUUGAGAAGUAUUCCCAAGAGAUUUUACACAUUGAUCACUGUGCUAGUCAAGACAACACUUAGUGAAUCAACUCCCCAACAAGUCUUCCAAGAAGUGAUGACCGAUGAUGCUUAUAGAGAAGAUGAUGAGAAGGAUGAGUUGAUCAAAAAGAAGAAGAAGGAUGGUGAUAAGAAAGAUGAUGAGAAGAAGAAAAGUGUGGCAUUCAAGGCCUCCACAUCGAAGGGCAAAGCCAAGCAAGAAUCAUCAAGUGAAGAAGAAGCAAGCUCUUGUGAUAGUGAUGAGGAUGAGGAGAUGGCUCUUCUUGUCAAGAGAUUUGGCAAGUUAUGAAGAAGAAGGGCUAUCGGCCAAGAAGAAAGAAGAGCUCCUCCAAGAAGAAUGAUCAUUCCAUGAGGUGCUUUAGAUGCCAUAGCAAGGAUCAUCUCAUCGCUAAGUGUCCUUAUGAUAGUGAUGAUGAAGAUGCUAUCAAGAAGGAAAGAAAGAAGCAAAAGAAGAAGCAAGAAAAGAAGGAAGGCUCAAACAAGAAGAAGGGUGAUUCCCAUGUUGCAACUUGGGAUAGUGAUGACUCCUCAAGUGAUGAUGAGAGCAACAAGAAGAAGGGGCAUGCUAGUAUUGCAAUUCAAGGAAAGAGCUCCAUCUUUGACACUCCAUCAUGCUUCAUGGCUAAGGCCACUAAGGUAUCAUCCGAUGAUGAGAGUGACCAUGAUAGUGAUAGUGAUAGUGAUGAUGAUGAACCAACUAAAUAUGAACUAAUCACUAUGCUAGAAUAUUGCACUCAUCACUAUAAAGAAACUAGGAAGGAGUGCAAGGCCUUGCUUAAGGAUAAGAAAACCCUUGAGCAAGAACUUGAUGAGCUUAGAGCAUCUUAUGAGAAUCUAAAGGAAGACCAUAAGAUGCUUCAAAAAGCUCACACUAAGCUUGAAGAAGCUCAUUCCUCACUAGUUAACAAAUGUAAAAAUGAGCCAACUAAAAUUGAAAAAGCUCAAACUUGCAACAUAGGCCUAACAUGUGAUAUCUUAAGUAAGCCUAUUGUUAUUGCUUCUACUAACCCUUCAUGUAGCACAUCUACAUCAUCCUCAUCUAGUAGUGAUGGUUUCACAUGUGACACCACACUAAAAGUUGAGAAUGAAAUUCUCAAGAAGGAGGUGUAAGAGCUCAAUCACACCUUAGCUAAGGCUUAUGGUGGUGAGGACCGCUUGCUUAUGUGCUUGGGUAGCCAAAGAGCUUCUCUCUAUAAAGAGGGAUUGGGCUAUAACCCCAAGAAAGGCAAGGCCACCUUUGCUCCUCACAAGACUAGCUUUGUGAAGAACAAUGGCCGGUAUUGCAAAGCUUGCAAGCAAGUUGGUCACCUAGAGCAACAAUGCAUGAACAAGAAACCCAAAGCUUAUGUAUCUCAAUUAAGCUUAAUUCCUUCUAUGUGCUUACCAAGGGUACAAAAGGUGUUCAUGCUAAGUUCAUUUGUGCACCAUUGAUGGGCUCAAAGAAGAAAGUCAUUUGGGUACCAAAGAGCUUAGUUGCUAACCUUGGAGGACCCAAUCAAGUUUGGGUACCCAAAAAGAAUUGAUCUUGUCUUGUAGGUCAAUUACAAAGCCAGAGGAAGGCAUUAGGUGCUUGAUAGUGGGUGCACUCAACACAUGACCGGGAGUCUUGUAUGUUCAAAUCAAUUGAUACUAGUCAAAAUGGUGGCUUUGAUUCAAUCACCUUCGGCAACAACAAGAAAGGCAAGGUCAAAGGGCUUGGUAAAAUUGCUAUCUCAAAUGACAUGAGCAUAUCAAAUGUGUUGCUAGUUGAGAGCCUAGAUUUCAAUCUCUUGUCAAUUGCACAACUUUGUGACCUUGGUUUCAAGUGCAUCUUUGGAAGUGAUGAUGUUGAGGUUGUUAGUGUUGAUGGAUCAAACUUGAUAUUCAAAGGAUUUAGGCAUGGUAGCUUAUACUUGGUUGAUUUCAAUGAUAGUCACACUCAAUUGACAUCUUGCCUAAUUAGCAAAUCAAGUUUGGGUUGAUUGUGGCAUAGAAGGCUUGGUCAUGUUGGAAUGAAACAAUUGAACAAACUAUUGAGGCAUGACUUAGUUAGAGGCUUGAAGGAUGUCACCUUUGAGAAGGAUAAACCAUGUAGUGCUUGUGAAGCCGGAAAGCAAGUUGGAAAUGCACAUCCUAAGAAAAGUGAAAUGAGCACAUCAAAGGCAUUUGAGCUAUUGCACAUGGAUUUAUUUGGGCCAACAGCAUACACUAGCAUUGGUGGCAACAAGUAUGGAUUUGUGAUAGUAGAUGACUACACUAGAUACACUUGGGUGUUCUUCCUCUAUGACAAGAGUGAUGUUUGUGAUCUAUUCAAGUCUUUUGUCAAGAGGGUGCAAAAUGAGUUUGAAACCACUAUCAAGAAGAUUAGGAGUGACAAUGGUAGUGAAUUCAAGAACACAAGAAUUGAGUAAUUGUGUGAUGAUCAUGGUAUUGGACAUCAAUUCUCUCCAACAUACACUCCUCAAUCCAAUGGUGUGUUGAAAGGAAAAAUAGAACCUUGAUUGAUAUGGCUAUAUCAAUGCUUAGUGAAUACAAUGUUAGUCAUUCAUUUUGGAGUGAAGCUAUCAACACGGCUUGCUACUGUAGCAACUGUCUCUAUUGCCAUGGGAAGCUUGGGAAGACACCAUAUGAGCUAUUGAAUGGAAGAAAGCCCAACCUUGCAUACUUUAGAGUGUUUGGUUGCAAAUGCUACAUUCUCAAGAAAGGCACUAGAAUUGAGCAAGUUUGAGAACAAAUGUGAUGAAGGGUUCCUACUUGGUUAUUCCACCACAAGCAAGGCAUAUAGAGUUUGGAACUUGACAAGUGGCACAUUAGAAGAAGUCCAUGAUGUAGAGUUUGAUGAAACCGAGGGAUCUCAAAAUGAAGCUCAAAAUCUUGAUGAUGUGAGAGGAGAUCAAUUGGCAAAUGCAAUGAAGAACAUGGAUGUAGGUGACAUAAGGCCAAGGCAAGUUGAUGAUGAUAGUGAUAUUCACAUGAUCAAUCAAGAAGUGCAAAUUGAUGUAAAUCAAGCAAGUACUAGUGGCUCUCAUGAUGAUGAUCAAAAUCAAAAUCAAACAAGUGGAAGCAAUCAACUCCCAAUACUCCAACCUACAAGCAUAGCAAGAGAUCAUCCAUUAGAUCAAGUCAUCGGUGGUAUUCAAAGUGGUGUGCAAACAAGAUCAAGGCUAGCAUCCUUUUGUGAGCACUACCCAUUUGUCUCAUUUGAGGAACCUAAGAAGAUAGAAGAUGCAUUGAAAGAUUCCGAUUAGGUAAAUGCCAUGCAUGAAGAAUUAAACAACUUCACAAGAAAUCAAGUAUGGGAGAUUGUUGAGAGGCCAAAGAACUACAAUGUGAUUGGUACCAAGUGGGUCUUUAGAAACAAGCAAGAUCAAGAUGGUGUGGUUGUGAGAAACAAAGCAAGAUUAGUAGCACAAGGCUACACUCAAGUUGAAGGUCUUGACUUUGGAGAAACAUAUGCACCAGUUGCAAGAUUGGAGGCAAUUAGAAUAUUAUUAGCCUAUGCUUGUGCCCACAACAUCAAGCUCUAUUAAAUGGAUGUGAAGAGUGCAUUUCUCAAUGGAUACAUCAAUGAGUUGGUUUAUGUUGAACAACCUCCCGGUUUUGAAGAUGACAAGAAACCCAACCAUGUGUACAAGCUCAAGAAGGCAUUGUAUGGUUUGAAGCAAGCACCUAGAGCAUGGUAUGAGAGAUUGAGAGAUUUCCUUCUCUCUAAAGGGUUCAAGAUGGGAAUGGUUGACACUACCCUCUUCACCAAGAAGCUAGGCAAUGACUUGUUUGUGUUGCAAAUCUAUGUUGAUGAUAUCAUCUUUGGAUCAACCAAUCAAGACUUUUGUGAAGAGUUUGGAAAAAUGAUGGCAAAUGAAUUUGAGAUGUCCAUGAUUGGAGAGCUUAGUUACUUCCUUGGUCUUCAAAUCAAGCAAAUGAAGAAUGGCACUUUUGUAAGUCAAGGAAAGUACAUCAAGGACAUGAUCAAGAAGUUUGGGUUGCAAGAAGCUAAACCAAUGAGCACACCUAUGGGCACAAAUGAUCAAUUAGGUAGUGAUGCAAGUGGCAACAUGGUAGAUCAAAAGCUAUGCCGGUCCAUGAUUGGAAGUUUGCUCUAUGUCACCGCAUCAAGGCCGUAUGUAAUGUUUAGUGUGUGCAAAUGUGCAAGAUACCAAGCUUCACCUAGAGAAAGUCACUUGAAGGCAACCAAAAGAAUAUUAAGGUAUCUCAAGGGCACUCAUGAUGUUGGAUUAUGGUAUCCCAAGGGGUCUAACUUUGAGUUGAUUGGAUAUUCGAACUCUGACUAUGGUGGAUGCAAGAUUGAUAGAAUGAGCACAAGUGGCACUUGUCAAUUGCUAGGAAGGUCUCUAGUUUCAUGGUCAUCAAAGAAACAAAAUAGUGUUGCACUACCAACCGCCGAGGCUGAAUACAUUAGUGCCGGUAGUUGUUGUGCACAAUUGCUUUGGAUGAAAGCUACCUUGAAUGACUUUCGAAUCAAAUUCAAGAAUGUGCCUUUGCUAUGUGACAAUGAGAGUGCAAUCAAGAUGACACAAAAUCCGGUUCAACAUUCAGGAACCAAGCACAUUGACAUAAGGCACCAUUUCAUAAGAGAUCAUCAACAAAAGGGUGAUAUGAAAGCAUUGGCACCGAAGAUCAACUAGUCCACAUCUUCACAAAGCCACUUGAUGAGAAGAGAUUUUGCAAGUUGAGAAAUGAAUUGAACAUGCUUGACUUCUCCAACUUGAGAUGAGUGCAUCCCCACAUUUAUAUAUGACAUGCCUCUCCUCCAACAAAGCAAGGUAAAGUUGUUUGACAUAGCAUUCAUACUUUGCUAAGGACAUGAUUAGAACAUAUAGACAUAUUUGCAUGACAAUAGGCUCAUUCAUGAAAAUCAAAAGAAUUUGAUGUAUGUAUGGUACCACUAUUGUUUCUAUGACUGAUUGAUCUAGUGGUAGCAUAUGACAUGUUGGUGAGCUUGCAAGCCUAGUGUUGAAUCUAGAAUAUGAGCUUAUGAUGUGUAAUUCAACAUGGUCAAGAUAACCCUUAUACUUCAUGAGGUGUGAAAAAGCUUGUCCUUGGAUCAAACCGAAUUACAUAUUCUAGGCAAGUAAUCUAGAUUGAACCAUAAUUUAACCCUCACAUUGAUUAACUUAAUUCUCACUAAAAUUUGAACCUUUGUGGUCAUUGAUGACAAAGGGGGAGAGAAACAAAGAUAAAGUCAAAAAGAGGGAAGAGAAACAAAGAUAGGGAGAGAAAACACCUUUAAACUUGAGCACACAAAUAGGGGGAGCAAGCUUAUGAACCAUUUGUUGCAUUUGAAUGUGCAGUAACAUAAUGAGGUGUUGCAUUGCAAGUUCAAAUUCACAACUCUUGUUUGAUUGGUGCUUGCUAGAAACAGAACUUGAAUGAUGCUUUGAAUUCUAGCAUAGAGUUUUAUUUUCAUAUGGUAUCUAGACAUAUAUUGUGAUCUCACGAGGUAUAUUGAGUUUUUGAUGUAUGUCUAGCUACAUUGGUGCUAAGGAUGGUAUAUUGGCAACUCCGAUUGGUAUCACGCUUCAAAGGUCCAUUCUAUAUACCUUAGCAUCAUUUUGGUAGUAAUAAAUCUACCAAAAUUCCAAUUCAUGCAUAUGUGUAAACUUGAACCAAACUCAUGGAAACACAUAUGUAGGGGGAGCUAGUACUACCAAAACUGAAAUUGAAAUGUUUGUCCAACUUUGUCUCAUGAUUAAAAUGCUUUGGACAAGCAAUUCAAGUUCUUUAUGAUUUCAUUUCAUAUCUUUGUGAUGGUUGUCAUCAAUUACCAAAAAGGGGGAGAUUCAAAGCCCAAGUUUGGUUUUGGUAAUUAAUGACACCAAGUUGCUAAUGCCUUGUGUUUAAGUGAUUUGAGUUAGGCAUAGCAACAAAUGUGAUGAGGUGCAUGGUGGCAUGGAAAGGUGGCCACAUGAUCACAAAGGGAUGAAGCAUGAAGUGGAGAUCAUGGUGCUAGACGAGGAGCAAAGUUAUCAAGGCAAAGGUAUAAACAUAGGGUUUUACUUUUGCCGGUCUAAGAUCAGUAGAGAAGUGAUUGACCGGGUUUAGGAUAGAUAGCCGACUAUCAAGAGGGGAAAUCACAGUUAUCUCUUGAAUCAAGUGCUACUAGGUCCAUAUCUUGAGCAUAUGCAUUAGGAUCUAGUAAAAUGCUAACCUAACUCCUUUGGGAAAUUAUUUGUGAAAAGCUAACACACAUGCACUUUGGUGGUGUACACUUGUUGGUGUUAACACAUUUGCAAAGGAGGUGGAGUUCCUAGGGUCGAAUUCGGCGCUUUUGAGAAAAAUAAGUGUAUAUUUUCUAUUGCGCCGAUGGGAAAUUUGGAGAAGUCGCGGGAGUGUUUUCUCAGUGAGAAACACUCAUCGGACGCUGAGUGUGGAGGCACCGGACGCUGGCCUCAGAUUCCGGUGUGCUUAACCCUGCUAGGGUUGAACACCGGACACGCUCUGAGAGCGUCCAGUGGUUGGCGUCCGGUGUGAGGGCGUUUUGCAACCCUCUCUGUGUUUAAUCUGGUGGCUCACGUCCGCUGACUUGGCAAGUUUGUGGGACUCUCUGUGCAUGAGUCCGGUGUGCACUGGACGCGUCCGGUGUGGACCUGCAGAGCGUCCGGUGGUCCACAGGUGACCGUUAGUGUCUGACACGCGAGAUCCAAAAAAGACACGUGGCCAACCCCUGAGCACUGGACGCUGGGGGUCGAGCGUCCGAUGAUCACUUGGUAGCGUCCGGUGCCCCCGUUUUCAGCCCAGUGAAAACAGCCAACGGCUAGUUUCUUUAAGGGGGCUUAUAAAUAGAGCGUGGCCGGCUUUGGGAGGUUCUCUCUUGCACAUUUGAUUACUUGAGGCAUCCUUUGAGAUAGAGAACACUCCCUCCACUCAUCUCCUUGCUUGAUUGCUCAUCCUAGUGAGAUUGAGUGAGAUUCAAGUGCAUUACUUUGAGAGUUGCAUUUAGUGGCACUUGAUUCUUGAGUUUGCUGCGUAUUUCUUGUUACUCUUGGGUGUUUCCUGAUGCCCUAGAUGGCUUGGAGCAGCGGUGGUGUUGAGCUCGUGAUUUGAGAUUGUUUUGAGUCCCACCAAGUGAUUUGUGAGGGGUUCUUGAGCCUUCCCCGUGGGAGAUCGCAAUUGGCUACUCUAGUGGAUUGCUCGUGGCUUGGAGGAUCCCCAUCGUGUGAGUGGAUGUGCGGCACCCACUGAGGGUUUGGCUUUGGAUUGCCAAUUAGCUCGUGAUCCAUCAAGUGGGUGUAUCGCCACAACGAGGACUAGCUUGCCGGGAAGCAUGUGAACCUCGGUAAAAAAUCUUGUGUCAUCUCUUGCCGAGGAUUCUCUUGUAAUUGUGAUUGAUUGAUUGGCUAUAUUUCUACUCUACAACGUUGGUAUAACAAUCACUCCCCUCUCCUUUAGUUUUGUGCAUACCUUGCCAGUGGUGUAGAUUGUUUAGCUUAGCUAUCUUGUUUGGGAGUGUAGCUAGCUUCUAGUUGUGUUUUCUUGUUGUAACUAGCUUUUAGCUUUCUUGCUAGACUUGUGUAGGUGGCUUGCAUAGCUUAGUUGUGCUAGUGCUAGAAUAGCUUCGCCAUUUAUUUUACUAAUCAACUUGUCUAGUUGAAGUUUGUAUAAAAUUUAAAUAGGCUAUUCACCCCCCUCUAGCCAUUUGGACCUUUCACGUUCUCUACUUAGACCUUUAUAAAAUUGUUGUAAAAAAAUAGGGUCUGGUAGACUAAGGUCCGGGCCAGACGCUAAAAGUGUAGCAAAUCGAUUCCAGGCUGAAGACAAAGACUCUUUAGAUAUUUGCUUUAUAGUGAGAACCUUGACUCUAAGGUCGAUGAUUUGGGAGAUGGGAUAGAAAUCUAGGCAAAAGUUGGAAUGUAAAGAUCCCCAAUCUCCUUGUUGCUUACCUACGGCUCUGUUAUACCAUUGUCUAGCUUUUCCCAUUAAUGAAAAGGGAAAUAGCUUCCACCAGAGAGUUUCAUUAGAUAUGCCUUCAAUGUGAAGAUAGUCACAUGUUUGCUCAAAGUCUCUAAUGUGUAGGUAAGGAUUUUCAUAUCCUUCUCCUAAAAAGGUAGGCUUUGGAUGAAUGCAAUCAACCGGAGACUCGUUCUAUAGCUACAUGUUUGGAUAGGUUGUGAUGACUCAUGUGGCACUAGGCUGGUCUCUGUGGGUGUAGAGAACUGAAGGAUAGGAAUGGAAUUUAAGGUAUCCAUAAAAUAAAAGGUAAGAUGUAAGAAAAGGUGAGAUAACAGAAAAAGAUAAAUGUGUGAUACAAGGUAGAGUAAGAUAAGGUUAUCUAAGCAGAUCAUCUUUCUCCUCGGCAACGGCGCCAGAAAUGCUUGUUGAUAUUAGUUAUGCACACAAAAGAAUCAAAGAGAAAUAAUCCACAAGCACACAGAUAUCGGUGAGCACUUCACCUGGGAGAUAAUUCCAGAGUAUCAUAUUUAUUUUUUACCACUAGGAGAAAGCGUGCAAAAGACUAUCCUUUUAUCCUACCUACUACCCACGAGUUGCUUACCUAUGGUAAGCGUGCAAAAGACUGACCUUUUAAGCGAUAUAGAGAGAACUCUUUCUUCAGUCUUCUUCUUACCUAUGGUAAGUGUCUAGAUAUCAUUCUAAGGGGUGUAACUAGAGAAAAGAGACACCUCAGAGAGUGCUUAACCCUAGUACCAUAUACCCUACGUUACCUCCUAACAGGACGUGGAUUACUAAGACCCAAUAGGAUUGUCACUUCCCCCAAAAGGCUACCACAAAUCUAGGCAAGCAAUAAAUAUCUACGAGUAUUCCUAGCCCAAGCACCGCACUUACACUACGAAUAAUUACUAUAUUCCCUAUGCUAAGCGAAUAAAGUAAACUCGUAAACCAAUGAACAAUAAGAACAAUAACUUACUAGUAUUAGAAGUUGAAUUGCCAAACAAUUCUAGAACCAAGGCUCGGGUUAGGAGACUUGACCCUGAUGAUACAAAGAAGAAGGCACCGACAGGCCGGGCUUCCUCAACUCCUAUCCUCACCCUAUACUCUCUCAAUCUCUCUUGUUGCUAUCACCCUAAAGAAAUAGAUCUAUUUGAGGGACCCCUCUCUGUCUAACUCUCUCUAGAAAAUAUGAAUUAGGGUUUCAGAGUUACAUCUCAGGGGGGUCAGGGUCUUUAUUUAUAGCCCCCUAGGAAUCACCACAGCCCUUGGAUCAAACCAACUUAAACAUGUGAUUAAGAUUAAUCCUCAAAGUCGAUGGACAUAGGAUCUGCGAGGUUUUCUCCGAUUGGUGGAGAGUCCCGGGCGGUUGCCCCUGAUAGGGUGGGGCGCCCAUCCCUGUCCUAUGGGAGGUGGGUCCCAUCAUUCAUGUGGUGGCUCCUAGAGUAUUCUACAAUGUUCAUGAGUUGACGUUGAGGUCUUCUCUCUGUGUAAAUCUGACAUGUAGACCUUCUUUUGUUAUUAUUCCGGUAACCCCUUGCAAAAAUAGACAAUCACCAAAUCUCGUGGAAUUCUAUUAGUGAUAACCCUAUUUCUACUGAAUGCUUGCAAAUAGGUCCUUUUUCAUUUUAAGUUGAUGGUUAAAAUUAGGAGUUAUCUACCAUCAACACUCAACAGUGUGGACUUAAACCUUAGUGAUGAGCUCAACCACAAGAUAAAUCAUUGUGUCUUGUGUGCUAUUGCACGUUCUCUCUUAUGUUCAACCCUUUCUAGGGUUUGGAGGCUCAAUCUAUUUCCAUGGGAGUUUUCUAUGGCAUCCAGUCUUGGAACUAGACUUUGUCUUGAUUUUGUAGGAUUGUAUAGUUUAUAAUUUCAACUUACUUUCUGCAAAAUUUCAUUCCUAUCUAACGUAUACUUGAAGGCCAAUAGUGCCACCCUCUGUGCUAAUAGUAUUUUGAGUUUCAUUUUUAUAGGCCUAUUCACCCCUCUCUAUGCCUCCUUUACCUUCAAUAAGAUCCUACAAGUGGUAUCAGAGCAAGGUUGCUUCAAAUACGCUUCACCGCGUGAAGUAUGGAAGUCAGAGGAGAUUCAAGGACAGCUCGUGACCCAAAUGAGGGUGGUGUACAUGUCAAGGACAUCAGUAGCAGCAGUGACAUGUCACACUCGACAACAAGCAACACCACUCUCAAGAUUGACAAGACCACCGAUGUGGAAAAAAGGAAGGAAAUAAAAGCUAGAAGAGAAGCAAAGAGAAAGGUAAGAGAAGAGCAGCAAAAGCAUGAUGAAAAGAUGCAAAGAAAAGAAGAAAGAAGGUUUAUUCAUGAAGAAAUAGCCAAGAGAAGAGCAGCACAAAUAAAGCAAGAAGAAAAGAAGGCAUAUGAUGCUUCAUCAAGUGAUCUAGUAGCUCAGAUGAUGGUGAUUAUGAUGCAUCAUAUCAUGCCUCCAAGGGAAACGAGAAGAACAAGAACAUGUAGAAGAAGCGCAACAAGGACAAAGUCAACAGCACCAAGAAGAAAUAUGCAGCCAUAUCUUUUAAUUAUUCUUACUUGCCUAACUAUGACCGCAAGUCUUUCAUCAAUGUACCGGCGGGAAGUUGCCUCAUUUUGAUGGGACAAAUUUUGCCAAGUGGAAGCACUUGAUGAGGGCUAAAUCUUAUCGAUCUUCACCCCAAUCUUUGGGAAAUUGUGUGUAGUGGAUUUGAACCAUCGAAGAACCCAAAGAGCCAGCAAAUGAAGAGCUAGCUGUUGUCCACCUUAAUUAUCAAGCCACAAGUAUUCUUCUUAGCGCUCUAGAUGGAAACGAGUACAAUAGAGUGAUGAAUAUUGAUGUGGCAAAACAAAUUUGGGACAUUUGCAUCUUGCUCAUGAGGGUGUAGACAAAGUAAGAAAGGGCAAAAUUGAUUUGUUGAUGGCCAAACUAAAUAGGUUUGUGAUUGUUGAUGGAGAAGGGCCACAAAAAUGUUUGAUAGAUUGAUGACUUUGGUGGCCAAAAUUAGAGGCUUUGGUUGUAGUGAGCUUGAUGACCACAAAGUGGUGAAAGUCAUGUUGGAAGCAUACUCACCAAGAAAUGAGACCUUAGUCACCUUGAUUGGAGAUAAGAAAAAGUUUGAGCACUUCAAAAACCAAAUGACAUGCUUGGAAGAUUGUUGACUUUUGACAUGCAAAUAGAAGAAGCAAAUGAGAGAAGGAAGCUUGGAGAGCUGCAAGAAAAGUUAGAUGGUAUGAAUGUUGGUAUAAAUUAACUGCACCAUAAAUAAUGAUUAUGAUCAGAUUAUCCGCAAGCGCAUAGAUAUAUACUAAUCGGCACUUCACCAAGAUCGACCUGGUUUUAAUAUCGAACCUAAAGGAACAGUAGGUGAUUUGUGACCUAGUCUAUAACUCUUAAUCUAAGGGGGGUACAAUCAAUUUAGAAAACUAUUGAGAAUGAGGAAGUAGCUAAUGUACUCUAGUUCUAAUAACCGGUAAGCUUUGCAUAAUAUCGUCUUAUCGGGCAAGUAACCCGACUAGGAGUAGAAACAGAGUAAUCUCCUAUUAGGCACCUAUAAGCCUAUCGGUCCUAUCAACGGGAAGUGGACUACAAAGGAUUCAACAUAGCUAUAAAGUAACCUAAGCGAGCUACCACUGUUCCGCUGAUCAGGGGACAUUUACAAGCAACUAUAGCCGAGACACCACGUCUACGCUAUGAAUCACUACUCCGACCUAGGAGCUACCCAAAUCAAAGUACUCAAUAUAAUAUAAGUUGCAAACCAAAGAGCAAAUAAAAACAAGUUGCUUACUUGAAUCAAAAUGGCAAAUACAAAAGUACCUCAGAACGUAGCUCUAGGCAAGGGAGCCAAAUCCAGAUGAAUAUAGCUCCUGAGGAAGCUUCGACAAGCCAGGACUCCUCUGAAUCUCUACUUCUCUACUCUAUCUCUAUAUUCUCUAUCUUGAUUGCUAGCCUAGAUCUAGUGGAUCUCUAUCUAAUGCUUUGACUCUUCAUCUCUUGAUUUGGCCCUACUCUAGGGGGUCUAGCCUUCUAUUUAUAGCCCGGUGGGAUACACAUGCGCCGUAGGAUCAAACUGACUUAACCAGGGGCCAAGAUGACUCCUCCAAGGCGGUGGAAGAAGCUUCCAGAAGGGGGCCCGGCCAGCGCAGGGGUGGGGCCGGCCAGCCCCACCGCCUCUACCAGUCCCGCUGCUUCAGGUCUCUUCUGGAGACUUCCUGACCCUGUUGGUGGUGGUGUUGCAUCGCGGAUAAGUUUUGUGUUUAUUUUGCACUUGAAUCCCUCUUUUCAGCUUUUUCUGAAAUAAACCAUGGAAAACACAGAAUAUGCAAAACUCGUGGAAGUUGUCAGUGAUAACCCUAUUCUAGUAGAUAUUCAUAUCUGGUGGAGAAAUAAAUGCUAACAAAUAUUGUGAGUUAACAGCUGUCAACGAUUACCCCCACACUUAGGCUUUUACUCAUCCCAAAGAAAAGGUUGGUUCUAUCAUAAAGAAUAAACAAUUAAUGCAUAACUUGGAAACUAAACUAUAUAAAACCAGUCUAGCUACCAUGCAUUGUGUGAAUUUAAAGUGUUUAUCAUGAAUUCUGUAGUGAUUGUAGAGUAAGAUAGCUUAAAAUAGAUUACUCUCUUCCUUAAAUUUUGCCUAUUGGAGAAUAAGUUGAGUUUGCAAAUAACACAUAGCUUCGACCUGUUCUUAAUUGUAGUGUCAUCAAUGGUUGUGAUAUUAAUUUGAUGUUCAUAACCAGGGAGGGAAAUAUCAUAUUCUUAGAUCAGAAGAAUCAUCCACUUGUUACCAUAUUAUGUUGGAGCGACCAUGUGCUCUCUAAUUCUACUUAUGAGCACAUGCUCAUAUCUCUUUUCUUAUUAAAUCGAGGUUCCAAACACUUGUCCCUUUUUAUUUCCUCGUGAUCUAUCUUUUUGAGGUUUUGGACACUUGUCCCUUUUUAUUUCCUCAAAUUUCUUUAUGAAUAGCUCAUGCCUCCUUCAUAAUAAUGCUUCAAGAGAGUGUAUUAUGUUUUUAUUUUAUUUUAUGAUACUGGGAAUAUGAUAAAUCUCUCAACCAAAGCCAUAAUAAUAGAAUGAUAUGAUUAUUAUUUGAUUCUAAUACAAAGAGAGGUGAAGCUAAUUGUUUUUACCUUUUUGAAAUAAAAUAUCCAAAGACAAUUAUCAGGAAUUGAGUACUCAUUAUUUUGCUAUCUCUCUUUCCACAAUAAUUUAAGCAAUCAUGAAGUACUAUAAAUUUCACAAUUAUCAUGACUCUAGAAAAGUGUUACAUACUUUAUUUUUCAAGUCAUAGAUUAAAUGGUGUUUAUUUUUUCUUAACAGUAUUUAAUUCGAAGAUUUAUGAUUUGGAUGACAAUUCAAAGUGAGAUAUAUGCAACUAUACUAUCACUAACUCAAACCUGACUGUGACCGAAGUGAGAGCGAAGGUGGGUGAGCUGGGGCACCGCCCGGCGCCACUUAGGCACCGGCCAGCCCCACCUAUGAGCAAUGUGGGGCCCGCUUUGUCGUGCAUGGUCUUGGUUCGAUUGUGUUCCUAAUUACGCUAAUUUUCCGAUUGAAUUUUUGUUUCGUGACUACAAUGUGCCUCCCCCACACUUGUUUUCCUGUAUACUAUUCUGCGCAAUAUGUAGAGACAAACACAUACCAAAAAAAUAGAGAUAGAGUAUAAAAGAUAAAGCACUUUAUUAAUGGCGGUGAUAAUAUAUAAUUUGACAGACGCUUUAACGACAGAGCUAACGACUGCCCUAGCUCAUUAGGCUGUGUCCUAAGAAAAAUUUAUGACUUGACUGACCCAACUAACUAACCAAACCUAGUGGGAUUGUGCCUUAUUACUAGAUAACUAGGCAACUAAGGCUGCCCUUCAUUGUUGAGGCCCUGAAUUACUUCUUGGAGGGCUACAACCUAUGCUUCAAGCUUGACUUUGUCACGCUUGAGGCUGCGGAUUAACUUGAGACUGUUCCCUAACUGAUUAUCCAUGCCUUCUAUGAGCUUGUCUCUCAGAUUGUUGGAUGUUUCCAUUCACUUGACAAUAUCGGAAAGGCCUUCAAGCUUCUCAUUGAGGCUGCAUAAAGUAGGUGAUGGCUGCUUGGGAACUUUCUCCAGUGCUGAUGCUGGUGUUGCUCUCUUCCUCUUGGGUUUGGGCUUAGGUGCAAUGUGCUCAGUGUUGGAUACCUCAUUAGGGUUUGCUCGAACUCCUUGGAUAACAGGACGAGUAGUGGUGUACUUGACGCAUACAGUUUUCCUUUCUUGUUGGUUUGGACCGACAAGAGCCAUUCAUUGUCCUUAGGUGGAAGAAGCGGAGUACCUUUCGGGAUAGCAAUCUGCUUCCCCUUGGCACAUCCUUUAAGCAGCAGCCUUGUAGGAGGUGGAGGAAGAGCAGAUGGAUCUUGUAUGUAGUAGGCUUGCUCAUGACGCUGGGGCACCGUAGAACCUUGCUUUGGCAGCACAACAACGAGAGGCUUGGGCAGCGUGAGGACGAGGGCCUUUGAGUCAUCGUUGGGGAUGUUGUUGAAGUCUGUGUCGUAGGAGACGAUUGUUGGGUAUUCUUAACGUCAUUACCGAAAGUAGACUUAGUUUUCUAAUUUUGAUAACGGCGCCAAAAAUGCCAAACCUAUCCCUCAUACCACUUAAGCCAAGUUGUCAUCCCCAGCAUGACAUGAGAGACGCGGUAUUGAAAUAUGCAAUUGCUCAUCUAAAUAAAUAAUAAAUGGGAUCUGCAAGCGCACAGAUUAAUACCGAUGUAGCAUUUUACCCGUUAUAUUUUUACCACUGGGAAGGGAUUAGUAACCAUCAAUGUUGAUUAUAGAAUGGAAUAUAAGAUUGAGUCUCUAUCAUUGCAUGUAUAAUUGAGAACAUUUAUCUAUCUCUUUCAUACAGGGAUAAGUGUCACAUAAAGAUAUAUGAAGUAAUGAAUAGUGACAAAGAUAAUUAAUCUGAUCAGCAUAACUAGCCACAUAUAAAUUCGUGGAAUUCUGUCAGAUAAAACCCUAUGUAUAGAUGUUGAUUUCAUUUGGAUCAUUUUCUUUGUUUAUUUGAUAAUUAAUUUGAUUCUUAAGGACCGUCAAUAAACUCCCUCAAGCUUACCUCUUGCUCGUCCCUGAUCAAGGAUAAUCUUAGCGAUGGAUCAUAAGUUGUUGCAAUAUCUUUAAAAAUUGACAGUACACAUGCUUUAGAUGAGAUCUCAUCUCUGAGUUAGAGUAAACUUUCAAGACUUAAAACUUACUUACUUUACCUUUCACCAUGGUACUUGUAACCGUCACUUCUGUCUUGAGUAGUUAAAAGAUAGAACAGUCUAGUCAAGUGCCAUGUCUCUUAUUCAUGAUCAGCUAUAGCUGUAGAGUUUUUGUAGAUUUUCAAAUAAAACUUAGAGAUUCCCUGUAUGACUCUCUUAGAUCUCUCUUUUGUGGUAUUUCUGGAUCCUUACCAAGGCAGUGAUGGUAUAUGCCUUCUCUCAAAAUAUGUGGUAUUUGUAGUAUAAGGCAUAGUGACUUCUCUCUCACCCUACUCUAUUAAGGCUUUUGAUAUCUGGAGCUCAUAGGUGGGAGAUAAAGUAUACAUACUUACAAGACAUUUAUUGUAGAGUCAAACCAUGGAUCCAAAGAAACAAAUCAAUAAGUCAAAUCAUGAUGUGCAUGUGUGGUGAAUGAAUGGUGUAUGGUGAUGAUGGUGAAAGUCUAAUUUUAUUUUUGCUCUCUGAGGGGAUACAUACCUUUCUUGCUUUUUUUUGAAACUUUGUGAGGAGAAUGAGAUGCUCUGUAUUUUCUUUUCUCUCAGGUGGGUAUCUUGUACCCCUAAUUCUACUGUCGGACACUUGUCCAUUUUUACCUCUCGUCUCACUUUUUCUUUUCUUUCGAGGUUCCGGACACUUGCCCCUUUUUACUUCCUUGUAUCUCUUUUUUUUCUUUUUUUUAGAGCACUCAUCUCUUGAGAUAAUAUAGCAAGUGGUAGUAACACGAUAACUUGAGCAUUUAUUUCACAAGGGAAAAAUAGAAAUGUUUUUGGCCAUUCUCUCCCGAAUUAGGAGUAGAAUGCUUUUGGGUGGUUCUGGAGAAGGAAAUGGAUGGAUAUAUGUGGAUGGUACUUCCGGAGUGGAAGCAGCAUAUGUGAGUGAACGUGCAAGUGAAUCUUGAUUUGACCACAUGACAAGCUCCUAAGGGUCUACACAGCUUGACCACACUCAAUGCUCAUAAGCAGUAAAAAGUAAAUGUGUGGCUCAAAGUCUAGCAAGCAUGUAUAUAUGGCUGUGGUAGGAAUUUAAACUCUUAUCAUACAGGAACUCAUCAUGUAAUAUUUUAAAGAUUUUUGAAGAUAAAAUUCUCCAGAAUUCUAGCAUCUCUAGGAAUAGAUAAAUAGCAGCUCAACCUUCCCAUAUCAUAUCUGUUAACAACUUAGACUUCAGAUCAAGUUUUCUUCCCACAAGUUUUAGGUUUAGAGCAAGCUUUAAAUUAUAACAGUUAUGUCUAAACUAGAGAGAAAACUCAAAUUUGAAAAUUAGGCAGAGCAACUAUUCAUCAUAUCCAUGUAAGAGUUUUAUUAUUAAGAUUCAGUUUAGCAUAGCUACUUUAUUUAUUUAUUAAACACACUAAGCAAAAGAUAUAUAUUAUAUUUUAAUAUAGUAUAAGUAUAAAGAUAGAAAUACUUAGCAGGAUAAAUGGGGGUGCUCUCCCCCAAAGCUGAAUUUUGACGUAAUUUCUUUUGAUGUAGCUAGCAGGUGGCAGAGGUGUAUUUGAAAGUCGGCAGUAUUCUGACAGCGAUUAGAAUAUCCUCCGUCUGCUAGUGUUCUUGAUUCUUAAAUUUUGUGGAGCUCAAAUAGACAACAAAGCUUUGUGGAACUGAUUAAGUGUUAGCAUAAAUAUCUAGCCUUUAUUAUGUUGAGCCUCCUCAAUAAAUGUUACUCUCUAUUUUUAUAUUUUCAUUUUAUAAAGCAGAAAAGAAAUAUUUAUUUUAUUUUUAUGCCACCACAAUGAAUGUACUUAUGGGUUUCAUGCCACUCGUAUACUCACAUGGGGCUUACUCUUUUUUAACAUUUUUAUUUUCUUUUUAGGAUAGUAUGAACAUGAUUAACUAAGCAAACUAUUUUAAAUAAUUGAAAAGAAAAAGAUAACUACCAAGUUUAUCUCUUGGCUAGGCGUUCGGUGUUUUUAAGUCCUCCAAACGGGACUCUCCGUUUUCUUGUUGUCCUGGGAUUCGUUGGGUGGCGUAGUCGGUACUUCCGGCAGUGCCUCCUCUUCAUGUAUAGUUAUCUUCUCUUUCCACACCUAACUCGGUGCUACGGUCUCCUCUGGAUAAUUUUGGUUAAACUGUAUGUCUUCUGACCUGAUCACUUCUCCUUCAUAGUCUGCCCAUCCGUCCUUGAUAAUCUGCCUCCUCUAGUUGCGGUUGCGUCGUUUUCUGAUCUGCUUAGAGUCUUCAACGAUAUAGUUAGGGUCAGUAAAAUAGCGGCGUACCUUCUCUGAGGGGAAGUGCAUAUGGACUUCUCCAGUAACAAUGUAGAUGAUUGCUUUAACGGUGCUGAGGAACGGUCUUCCAAGGAUGACGGGUGGACCGUAUUCGUCUUCUCCCAUGUCAAUAACCUGAAAGUCUGUGUAGACAAAAUGAUCGUUUAUUUUGACUGGGACAUCAGUUACUAUUCUUUUGACCUCUCGAAAUGUCUGAUCUGCCAUCUGGAGCUGAAUGUAUGUUGGUUUUAGCGGCAUGGUUCCGAACAAGAGCCGAUAGGUGACUGCGGCCAUUAUGUUGACGCCCGAUCCGGUGUAGCAAGUCGUCCUGUAGAAGUUGUAUCCAUUAAUGGAGCAAUAGAUGCUUGGCAUUCCUGGGUCGUCCUUCUUGGUCAAAAACGGUGACUUAAGUCGAUGAUCUUGACCUCCAUGAACUGCAGUGACCAUCUUAGCUGACUCGGUCCACACUUGCUUGUUCCAGUUCCUCCUGUUGGUCCUCUUCCUUGGUUCAUGUCA